AUAUUUUCAUAUAGAAAAUAUGAAAAUUUUUAGGUAAAUUCUCAUUAAAGAUGUUAUAUUGUAACAAAUAUUUAUAUGUGUGUAAAAAUUAUACAUAUUUUAAGGAGAUUUACUCUCUUUUGAACUUAUUUAGGGUUUGAUUGAAGAAUCAAAAUUGGAGUCAUUCAAUUAUCCAAUCUAUUACCCUUGUGUUGAAGAAGUAAGACAAGUUAUCGAAAGAGAAGGAUCCUUUAACAUCCAUCAGCUUGAAACAUCACAUAUAAGUUGGUCAGUGGGCUAUGAGAAUGAUAACAAAGGCUUGGAGUUUAACAAGCACGCAAGAGCCAAGCACGUGGCAAAUAAUAUAAGAGCAGUCUCAGAGUCCCUUCUGGCCAAUCAUUUUGGAAGUGCAAUCAUGGAUGAUUUGUUCCAUCGAUUUACAAUCAAGAUAAGUGCACAUUUGGAAAUGGGGCUAGGAGCUCACACAGUUCUCUUCAUUUACUUGAUAAAGAAAUGAAUUAUGUUAUUUCCAAAAAAAUAAAAUAAAUGUUUUGUAUAUUUAUUGCUUUCAGUUCUUGUCUUACAUGAGGCUCUGUUGUCCUCAUUGUUGUUGCCGUUUGUUUGUUUGUUUGUGUUUUCUUAAAUACGUAUCACUUUACGUAAAAUUACUAUGGUUCGUAUUAAUUUAGGUUAUAUAUCAAUGUAUUUUUCUUUUGUUAUUUUAUGUUGUUUUAUGUUGGUAUUUCAAUGGGACCCACGUGCUGCAAGUAUCCAAUGCUUUUAUUUAAGCACUUUUUAUUACUAUUAUUUUUGUUAUUAUUAUUAUAGAUAUUAUCAUUUUAUAACAUAUCAUUUCACCAAUAAAAUUUCUUACAAUUAUUUUUUUCUACUUAAUGUUUUAGUUUUUAUCAUUUUAAAUUAGAAUAUAAGAAAGAAAUUAAUCUAUUUUUUUCUUUGACAGCCUUUGCCCUUUGGAGAAGAUUUUUUAUUCAAUUCUUUGUGAAAACUUGUUCUUAGUGCUAUUUAUAAUUAAAUUCAGGAAUGCACGUAAUAGAACAAAUUAAAACUCAGGUUAAUAACUUAUAUUUAUUUUUCGUGAUUACAAUCUACACAGAUAUACUACCAUCUAGAGUUAUACCUAUUAAUACUUCAGAUACAUGCAUUUAUAACUUAAAAAUCUAUGGGGAUUAGCUCAGAAAUUCACUACUUUCACUAAUGACAUUGGACAUAAUAAACCCACCCAUAAAUAGUUUAAUUUUUUUUUUUUGGUGGAAAAUAAGAGGAGGCUCCAUGAGAACUCAAACUAAUGCCCUCAAUAUUAUUGAGAGCACCGGCCCAUACCAUAAUUAACUCUACUUUUUUAAUAGAAGAUAUUAAAAAAUGAAAAAAAAAUCCUAAUAUCCUAAAAUCCUAAAAUAACAUCCUACAUCAAUGUCACUACGAACCUCAUGUGAUGAAAAAUAAGAAGAUAAAAUAAUAAUAAGGGUUUGAACUUUGAAGAGUGAAACUCUACUUAGAUUUUUUAAUUUGUCUAUUAAACUUAUUUUAAUAAACAUAAAAUUUAAAUUUCAAACUUUGGAUUUGAAGAGGAUAUGAAUAUAAUUUUAUGGAUGGUUCGAUUUUCUUUUUUCUUUUUAUUUAAGUAAAACUCCUCAAAGGAUGGUAUGAUGCGAGGACUUUCCCUUUUAAAAAUUAAGCACAAUAAUGCAACUUUUUUUGUCAUCUAGUACACAUUAAACUCCAUUAAACCGAAAAUAUAGAUGAGAGAGUUCCAUUAAAAUCCAUUCACUCAUUGUUAUUGAUAUCCUUCAACAAAUUAAUGUGAUAAUAUUCUUACACAUACAGUAAGCAAUGAUUAUUUCUUUUAUUAUGAUUAAUUAGUCAACAUCAAAAUAUAUAUGUAUAAUAUAUGUGUCAAAAUAUAUUAUCGAAAGGGCUCACAUAGUCACAUAUAUAACACAUGCGUUUGUUCCAUAAUAGUUUUUCUCAUGUCUUUGAUACUACACAAUUUACAACUUGACAAUUUUAUGUGCUAAUAUAUUUUCUAUUUUCAUCCUUACGACUGGAAAUAAUGAUAAAAUUCAAACAGUCUUGAUGCAAACAAAAUUAUUAAUCAAAUGAUUGAUUUCCUUCAUCUUAAUUAUUGAUUAAGAAAGAUUGAUUGACUCAAUUUUUGCUAAUAAAUCAUUAUUCCCCAAUUAUAUUAAUUUUAUCAUUUCCUUUUCAUAUUUCAAGUACUUGUAUAAAUUGAGCUUUUGUGCUCAUGAAUUAACAAGAGUGAAAUUUAUCUUCUUUACAAUAUUUCUAAAACGUUUUCGUGGUAUUUGAUGGGAUUGAGAGUCUUCAAAUUCGUGGGUUUAGCCAUGGAGCAUGGUGAUCUAAAUAGGGGAGAUGUGAGAUCCUUCUUAGUUGUUAUUAAUUUCUUCACUGAAAAAAAAAAUAAAAAUCUCACUGCCACCACCACUUCCACCAUCACAAAGGAAAGAUGUCAAAAGAAAAAGGGAAUAAAAAGGAAUCCUCAAAAUUGUUGUUUUUCUUGACAAGUCAAUGGAAUGGUUUUCUAAAUAGGGAUAUUGCUAGUUUUCCCUCUUUUGAAAUCAAUUUAUAUCACUUUACCCAUUAUUAUUUUUACAAUAGUCAAUAACCCAUUCUCGUAUAAAUAAUUUAAAGGAAAAGAAAUGGGUCACUUACUUGAUAUUUUACCUUGGGAAUAUAAAAUAUAUAUUUAUUAUAAAGAAAGAUAUUUAAAAAUAACAAAAAUGUAUAAGAAAAAUAUCUUAUUAUUAAUUUUUUAUUCACACAAAAAAAAUUCUUAUUUUUAGUAUUUAAAUUUUUUGUUUUAAUUUCUAUUUAUAUAAUUUAUUUAAUUAAUAAUAAACACGAUUCAAAGUAUAUUUAAAAAUAAGGAUAAUAUUAUAAAAUUAUGAUGGUAGGGAGGUUAUUGAUUAUUAUGAAAAAACUUAGGAGGUAAGUUUAUCUAUUGAUUUUGGUAGGGACAAAUGAGCAACCUCCCUCCUAAAUAAAAAAAAAAAAAAACUCAAUGUCGAAAUUGAAGGAAUGAAGAUAAAAUGCUUGAGUGAAGAUUUUAUUUAAAAAAAUCAAAGGAACAGCUUUUAUAUUAAAAGAAUUCCUUGAUCAAAAGAGUUUAUUACUUUUGAUUUUUCCCAGUCUUUAAAAAAAAGUGUACAUGAAAAUAAUUGAAAGAUUUCUUAGACAAACUUCAAAGGAAUGCUUUCUAAUUUUUUUGCAUGACAGUUAUGAGAUUGUAAAUAAAAAUAAAGUAUUUAUAGUUUUUGAAGGCAAGUUAAGAGUUUAAAAACAUUUCCCUUGCUGGAUUGAGUGAGGAUGAUAAGAAUCAAACAAAAUUCAUGGAAACAGAACAAUCAAUCAAAUGAUUUAUUAAGAAAGAUUGAUUGUAAAUAAACAUAAAAAUUGAUUAACUCAUUUUUUACUAAUCAAUCAUUAUUCUUGAAUUAUAUCAAUUGUAUCAAUUCCUUUUUCAUAUUUCAAAUACUUGUAUAAAUUAAGCCUUUUUGUUCAUGAAUUAAAAAGAUUGAAAUUUACCUUCUUUAUACUAUUUCUAAAGAGUUUUCAAAAAAUACUUGGAAAGAAUCUUUUCUCUGGAGCCACAUAGAAGGGCAAUGGAAUUAGAGGAAGUCUCUUGCAAAUAUGAAGCCAUGGAAAUAGAACAAGUUAUGUACAUGAAUGGAGGAGAAUGAGGCACUAGCUAUGCAAAUAACUCAUUGAAACGGGUCAUCAUCAUCUCCUCUCCAUUUUUCACACUACUAAUUUCUUCUGUUUCAUUAUAUAUAUACUAUUUUCUUCUGUUUCAUUUAUAUAUAUUGAAUAUAUUUUCUUGUAUUCAAAAGGAGGCCACCUUGAAAGCAAAGCUUAUACUAGAACAAAUCUUGUUUGAUUUGUUUUCCAAUGCUUCUCGGAUUGCAUAAGACUUACAGAUAUGAGAUGCUCUUCAAGGCCUAAUUCAUUGUUGCCAACAUGGGAAGUUAUAGAUGCCCUCGACAAAAUUUGCCAACGCUUGAAUCACAAGCCACCGACAUUGCUUUUUUUUUUCAAUGAUGAUGUAAGAUGUUGUUUAUGACGAGCAGGAUACCUUCUGGAGGCCAUAACUUGGGCUACAGGUGUCUGGUUUCGGCGUAUAAUAUAUUGUUUCAAAGGUCGUGAUAAAAAAAACCCAAAACUCCAUGUGUCGUUCUGCACUGUGGUCAAGUCAAAAAGUCUACUUCUUUCCUGAUCGUUUUUUAAUUUUAAGAUAUUUCCCCAUUUUUUCUGUUUCUUCUAAAAUUUUUAUAUAUAUUUUUUUGAAUUUGGAUCUGGACACCAUUUGUUCUUUUUCUUAUUUAGAUUAGGAGAAUUUUAUUAUAAAAUAAUAUUUCAAAUAUAAAGAGGCCAAAGCCCUAGCUUUAUCAAUUCAAUAUUUCUCCGUAAACUUCAUUAUUUAGAAACCUUGUUUUAACUAUCUUCAACCUUUUAUGUUUUCACUUCAUCGGUUGGUACUAGAGCAGGUUCACCUGUCAUCAUUGUACGACCACAUAAACAAAGGAGCACCACCUCGAAGAAGUUGACCAAGGGAUGCAGACAACGUAUAUGGAGACUAUCAGACAUAUGGUAAGAGAAGUAGUCUUGCAAGUCAUGGAGGACAUGUAUAACCCGAGAAUGGCAGCGAUGGAGCAAGUAAUCAAGGGUCUCAUGAUUUCCAUGACAGAGAGAGAAUAGCAGGAAGGAGUUAAUCGUUAGGAAGUUGUUGUAAGAGUAAAUCGUGAAGAACAACCUCAAGAUUAUUACUAUUAAGAGAUACAUCAAGGCUUUAAUCGUGAUGUAGUGCCUUUAGGCAUCAAUCGCAAAGUAAUUCCUCAGAAUUUAGAACUCGCAAGGCGGGUGCAGCUACAUGUGCGUGAAGAGUGAUAGAGUAAUUCGAAAAAAAAGAUAGAGGAUUAUGACGGGAAGUGUAAAAAGAAUUCAGAUUACAAGAUUAAUAUUGAUAUUGCAGAUUGUUAUAGCGGAAUGCAUGUUGACGAAUUUUUAGAUUGGAUAGCAGAUAUAGAGAAUUUCUUCUAAUAUAUGGAGAUUCCCCAAGAGAAAUGGGUUAAGCUUGUGGCAUUCAAGUUUAAGCGCACAUCAUCUGCACAGUGGCAACAUGUAGAGAAUCGAAGAAGAGUUGCAGUGAAACCACUUAUCAAAUCAUGGCCUAGAAUGCAGAGGAUGAUGAAAGAGUAUUUCCUACCAGUGGAUUAUCAACAGUAGUUGUAUGUAAAAUAUCAAAACUGCAAACAAGGGAACGCAUGUCGAUGAAUAUACAAAGGAAUUUUAUCAUCUACACACAAGAAACAAUAUGGAUAAGCUAGAGUUGUGGAUAGUUGCGAAGUAUCUUGGUGGAUUAAAACAAGAGAUACAAGAUCAGAUUGUAAAUGCCAUUUGGGACAUGGGUACAUAGAAAUUGGAAGAACGGAAGCAAAAUGUAGUUUUUAGAACUCAACAACAAUUCAUUAGUGUGUAGAAUAAACCAAGCAGUGUUGGGGUUAAAAAUAAGCAUAAAACAUGGGUAGGUAGUAGUCAGGCACAACAACCAUGAUAGCAACAGCUAAGACAGCAGCCACCUAGACAACAAUCACCAAGGCAAUAGCAAUACGAACCACAUAUAUAUAAUAACCCAGACGUAAAGCCUAUGCUGAUGUGAGGAAUUAGGGCAUUGAUCGACUGACUGUUGUACAAAAAAUUUGAAUUUGGUAGAGGCUGAAGUUGGCGAAGUAGAUAAUGUUAUAGAUGCGAAUGAUGAAGAAGCCCUAGAGUUAGAAGCAGAUGAAGAGGAGAUGUUGAAUUGUAUUAUGUAGAAGGUUUUAUUGGCGCUAAAGAUAAAAAAAGAUAGCCAGUGAAAUAAGAUUUUCAAAACACGUGACACUAUCAACGAUAAGGCGUGCAAUGUGAUAAUUGAUAGUGGUAGCAGGGAGAGCAUAAUUUAAAAGCGUCGGUUGACAUGAUGGGACUUUUAACAAAAAAAAUUCAGCACUUUACAUAAGCACAUGUAAAAAAGGUGUGUCGUGUUUCUUUCUCUACUAGAAAGAUUUAUAAAAGUUAUGUGAUGUGCGAUAUAGUAGUUAUGGAUGUGUCUCAUCUGUUACUAGGACGACCUUGGCAGUUCAAUGUUGAUGCAAUCCAUAGAGGAAGGAAUAAUGUGUAUAAGUUUUGGUAGAUAGGAAGAAGGUUCAUUCAGUGCCUUUAACGAACUAGAAUAAGAAUUCUAAGAUAUAGAGGAAUAAUUUUUUGACCAUUGUGAAGGGUCUUUGGAGGAAGAUUGUGAAGGUUGCAAUAAGCUAGAAAAGGAAGAUGAGUUCGAGGUGAAGACUGUUCAUGAAGAAGUGCAACCAUUACUAACUUAGUUUGCUGACAUUACACCAUCAAAGAAUCCAGAUGGGCUACCACCUUUGCAAGAUAUUCAGAUCAUUUGGAGAGAGAGAAAAUUAAGAUUUAGUGUGCUUUAGGGAGAAUGAAUGGCUCAUGAAUCAACUUUUUAAAAAAAAUAAAUGUGCAGGGAUAAAAUCUAAUCAUAAAGCAUAUUUGGAUAAAUUAGAGAGUGACUCCACAGCAUUUCUCAAAUUUUGAUUUGAAGAGUUGAAGAUUGGAGGCCAUAUGAUUCUUACCUUUUAAGAUAAUGACAAUCUAAGAGUAUAUUUGGGAUUGAGGUUGGACAGCUGUCACUUAAAAAAUACAGUACUAAAGUGUUUGGUAAACAUUAGCUGUUGUAACUUGGAAGUUAUAUUGAUAUGAUUUUUCACUUGUAUAAUAGAAAAUCUAUUAUAUCUUUAAUAAUUUUGUCAAAAUUAUUAUUUAAAAUUUAUAUUUACUACAUAUUAUUAACUUUUGUUUGAUAAUUACAAUUUUUUUUUCCACAGUAGUUUUAGCUUAAAAAUUAUAGCAUCUCAAUCCUAAAUAGGACCUAGGUGUAUGUUUAGGAUUGCUUUAGAUUGCCAAAUAAUCACUUACUUGAUAAUCCAUUACCUCAAAUAUAUUUGGUAAACUCAUAGCAAGAGUGAUCAUCACAAAAUCUUAUUUAUGAAAUAAUUUGUUUUUGAAGUAACUCUUAAAAGUUUAUAAGAGUAGAUUUUAAAAUUUUGAUUUGUAAUUUGCAAUAACAAUAUUACCCUAAUUUUAUAGCAAACUUUCAAAAAUAUCCCUACACUAAAAAAAUGUAAUUUUUAAUAUUUAAAAUUUAAAAUUAAAAAUAAAAUUGAAAAACCAAAAUUAUUUUUGGUAACUAGUGACCUCACCAAUGCCAUUGUCGGUGAUUGUGAAAGUGCUAUUUGGAUACCACCAAUACUAUCAAACUCAAAAUCAUAUGACCUAUGUAUUUGUAAUGUUCCAGUUGGAAAAUGAGAGAUGGUGGCAAAGCAUACACUCCAAAUAGUACAACAACCACCGCACACCACCAUCAAAAUUGGGGAAUAUUUGAUGCAAUGCCAUUGCUAUUUAAUAGAUCGACAAGCAAUGACCAUUAUGUAGUGGUUUCAUGCCGCCAAUCUUCACUUUGGUACCAUUUUUGUGGACUAAAGGUAACAAUGUCAGUCGAUUGUGUUGGGAUUAUGUGCUCUUUAAACCAUAUUAAUUAUUUUAUUUUUAGAUUAAUAAAAUAUUUGAGAUAUUUUCAAUUACAUAAAUAUUUUGAAUAAGAUCCGUUUAAUCAUAUUAUAUGUAUUUAUGUGAUCAUCAUAUAGAUUCACAGAAGACAUAAAUACAAGUUAUCUUGUGAUUAAAUAAAUUAAGUUCGUAGUUGAUAAAUAGAGUUGAAUGCUCUAUUUAUGUUUAGACUAUAGUAAAUUCAUUGAAUGAUUUGUCUUAAUCAUGUAUGAAUUUACUAAUGUAGUUUGACUGCAUUGAACUGAAUCACAUAUAAGAUUUAAUUAACUUUGAAAUGACUGUCAGACUUAUUAAAUCUCAUAGGCAUUGAUUUUAUUGCAAUCUUAAUCUUGAGUUAAUUAUGGUUUCAUGUUUGUAAUUGUCAUUUCAUUUGAGUUACCAAUGGGCGCGACAUACAUUUAUAGUCAAGAUUACCCAGUAUCUUGGUGGAAGCAAUUAUGAGUAGUGAGAUUAUAGAUUAACAAUAUAGAAUUUGUACAACACAUCUCUUGAUGGGUUUUCGGCACUUGAUCAUAGAAUUCUCUGGCUAGAGUGUGUCAACGUAAUUAGUAUGUUGAAAAUGAUCAUUAGAGAAAACCAGUAAGUGUCAAUGAACAAGAUGUAAUUAAAUUGAUUGGACAGUUGAGAUAUCAAUUUAUUUAGCGAUGUGGUACAAAGGAUUGUUUAGUAAAGAAAUUAAUAUGGCAUGAGUCGAAUUAUUUUUCGAGAACACUAUCCUACAUAGCAUACAAUUAUGGAGAUCAAUUCCAAUCUUUUAGUGGAGUAGAUUUGGAAUUAAAUAAUUGGACUAGUUUAAUUACAGACUUAAUUAUUGUAGCCAUUUUUGUACCUACCCAUAUGAUCCCCGGGUUAGCUCAUUUAAUUGACUGCGCCGCUACUGGAUUAAUAAGCAAGAUAACUAGUUAUUUGAGUUAAAAGCCUAAAUAUAUAAUUUAGUGGGAGGCUUCAUUUAAUAUGCUUGUGUGUAAGGGGCCUUGUGUUAUUUUACAAGGUGGGCCCCUAUAACAAAAAAAAGUAACGCCACUUUUAGUUUUAUUAUUUUUUUAAUUUAAAUCAAAUUUGAUUUAAUAGAAUUAAAAAAUAUAUAAAUAUGGAGUCUAGGGUUUCCACCAAAUAGAGAUAUAAAAGGAUUUGUUUUCUCUAAAAGGUGAGAGGAGCCACAAUAUACGGAUCAGAGAAAAAAGUUUUUCUCUCUAAUUUUGAUAGAGAUAUUUUCUCUUGCUAGUUGCUUUUAUUAGUGAUAAAGGCGCUCACACGUCAAGUGCAGGUUAAACUUGAGUCAUAACCUGGAAGAUCAUUGGUGAUAGAUCGUGAUCUAACAAGAUUGGUGAUGACGGAUCGUGAUCUGGGAGCCUAGAUUACUUUAACAAAAAAACAAAAGUACAAUUUCUAGAUUAUGCUAAUUUUAUAUAUUGUAUGAGAAUUGCGAUCUGUUGAAAGUCAUGGCUGGCGCCGGCCAUCUAGAUGGCCGGUGCCAACCAUUCAACAUUCAACACGGCCCGCCAUUGUUGGUGGUGCCGUGUUGAAUGACUCCAAUAAAAAAAAAAAAAAAAGAGCCAAAAUUUUGGCUAUAUAAAGAGGGCUUCCCACCCUCAUUUUUCAUCCAAUUUUGUAGAGAGAAUUGAGAGUUGUGAGAAGUGAUUCUUGCAAGAGCAAAGAAUUUUGUGUGCUUAGUGAUUUGAGAGUUUGGGUGUAUUGGGGUUUUGGGUAGUGAGCUAAAAUACUACAAUACUUGUAACUCCUUUUCACUAGUAUAAUAUUUCUUUCUGUCUUCGCCCGUGGACGUAGGCUAAAAGCCGAACCACGUAAUUUCUGGUAUUUUCUUUUGUGCUUGUUCUUUAUUUUUCUAUCAAUUUUACUUUAGCUGCGUGUCUGCUUCACCCACCAAUUUCCUAACAGUGGUAUCAGAGCUAUUGGUUGUAUUUUUGGAGUCAGGAAUUGUUCACGUAUUCACGUAUACGGUGUACGGCACUAUUCACGUAUACGGCAUACGAUACUAUUCACGUAUACGGAGUACGGCACUAUUCACGUAUACGGAGUACGGUACUAUUCACGUAUACGGUGUACGGUACUAUUCAUGUAUACGGUACUAUUCACGUGAAACGGUGGAAGCGAUCCAAGAAUUUUGCGGUGCAAAGCAGGGAAUAGUGGUGUGAGUAAAGCAACUGUGUGAUUCUGUACAUGUCUAGGAAAGUUCUGUCACAAAGGCGAUAAGAGCUUAAGGAGUCUGGGUUUUAAGUGGGACCAUUGUGACCCCUCCAGUCUUUCCUGGGAACUUUCCUGGUGUGCAUUCUCACACAUACUCACAACUAUUCAAGGUGGUACACUAGCUUGUGUACAGUAUUUAUCAAUAAAAUGGCGGCAAAGUAUGAAAUUGAGAAAUUUAAUGGAAAUAAUUUUUCGUUGUGGAAAAUGAAGAUGAAAGCUGUAUUGAGGAAAAAUAAUUGCUUGGCAGCAAUUGAAGAAAGGCCCAUGGAGAUAACUGAUGACAAGUGGAACGAGGUAGACGGCAAUGCCAUUUCUGAUCUACACUUGGCACUUGCGGAUGGAGUAUUAUCCAGUGUGGCAGAGAAAAAUACGGCGAAGGAAAUAUGGGAUACUCUCACAAAAUUGUACGAGGCCAAGUCACUACACAAUAAAAUCUUCUUGAAGAGGAAACUCUAUACUCUUCGAAUGGCGGAAUCUACAAUGGUGACCGACCACAUCAACACAUUGAAGACUCUAUUUUCACAACUCACAACGUUGGGUCAUAAUAUAGAGGAAAAUGAACGUGCAGAGCUUCUACUUCAAAGUCUACCAGAUUCGUAUGAUCAACUCAUCAUCAACCUGACGAACAACAAUCCAGUGGAGGGUCUAGUUUUCGACGAUGUUGCAGCCUCCGUAUUAAAUGAGGAGAGCAGGCGAAAAAACAAGGAAAACAGACAAGCAAGUUCGCAGCAAGCGGAGGCGCUAUCGGUGACGAGAGGAAGAUCAACAGAACGUGGCCCCAGUGGGAGUCAAAAUCAUGGUAGAUCAAAAUUCAGAAGUAAGAAGAAUGUUAAAUGCUACAACUGUGGCAAGAAAGGGCACGUCAAAAAGGAGUGUUGGAGUAACCAGAAGAAAAGAGAGGGCAAAGAACCUGAGUCAUCAAAUGCUCAGGGGUGUGUAGCAAGUACCUCGGAUGAUGGCGAAAUUCUCUACAGUGAGGCAGCAACUGUUUCAGAAGGCAGAAAACGACUUUCUGAUGUCUGGCUUAUAGACUCAGGAGCUACCUGGCACAUGACCUCUAGGAGAGAAUGGUUCCACACAUAUGAACCUAUCUCAGGUGGAUCUGUAUAUAUGGGUAACGAUCAUGCCUUGGAGAUCGCUGGUAUUGGUACUAUCAAAAUAAAAAUGUUUGAUGGUACAAUUCGCACAAUUGGGGAGGUACGACAUGUCAACGGCCUAAAGAAAAAUCUAUUGUCUUUGGGACAAAUAGACAAUCAUGGGUGCAAAACUCAUGUGGAGAAUGGAAUUAUGAAGAUUGUUAAAGGCGCGCUUGUAUUGAUGAAGGCAGAAAAGAUCAGUGCUAAUCUAUUUAUGCUUAAAGGAGAAACACUACAGGAGGCUGAUGCGUGUGUCGCAUCAAAUGGAGAAGAGUCAACGAUGAUGUGGCAUCUCAAACUUGGCCACAUGUCGGAACAAGGUUUGAAGAUUCUCUCUGAGCGAAAAUUACUUCCGGGGCUCAAAUCGGUAAGUUUACCAUUUUGCGAGCAUUGUGUUACAAGUAAACAGCAUAGAUUAAAAUUCAGUAGAUCUAUUGCUAGAAGUAAAUGCAUUCUAGACUUGAUUCAUUCUGAUGUUUGGGAAUCACCGGAUAUAUCCAUGGGAGGUGCAAAGUACAUGGUGACUUUCAUUGAUGACUAUUCCAGAAGAUGUUGGGUGUAUCCAAUUAAGAAAAAGUCAGAUGUAUUUCCUGUGUUUAAAGAAUACAAAGCGCGGGUGGAACUUGAAUCUGGUAAAAAGAUCAAGUGCUUGAGGACAGAUAAUGGUGGAGAAUAUACAGACGACGAGUUUCUUACUUUCUGUAAGCAAGAAGGUAUUCAGAGACAGUUCACGGUGGCAUACACUCCUCAACAAAAUGGAGUGGCAGAACGGAUGAACAGAACUCUUACAGAAAGAAUAAGAGCUAUGUUGAGGACUGCUGGUCUACCCAAUUCAUUCUGGGCAGAAGCAGCCAAAACUGCCUGUUAUAUAGUAAAUCGGUCGCCAUCUACAGCUAUUGGGUUGAAGACAGCGAUGGAGAUGUGGACUGGAAAGCCAGCUGAUUAUUCCUACCUACAUGCAUUUGGAUGUCCUGUGUACGUGAUGUACAAUGCCCAAGAAAGAACAAAGCUGGAUGCAAAAUCUAGAAGAUGUAUCUUCUUGGGGUAUGCUGAUGGAGUAAAGGGGUAUCGUCUGUGGGACCCCACUGCCCACAAGAUCGUCAUCAGCAGAGAUGUUAUUUUUGUAGAAGAUCAACUGCAAAGAAAAGAUGAAGAUGAUGGCACUGUAAAAGAAAAGUCAGAGACUGUGCCGGUAUAUGUCGAAAAUAAUCCAGAAGAUUCAGAUUCUUCUGAAGUAGCAUCAGAGCACGAGGAACAAGAACCAGUUGAGUCCGAGGCUCCAGAAGUUCGUCGGUCAACUCGUGAGAGACGACCGCCAACGUGGCACUCGGAGUAUGUCACAGAGAUCAACGUUGCAUACUGUCUUCUAACAGAGGAUGGAGAGCCUUCAACUUUCCAUGAAGCUUUAAACAGCUCAGAUGUUGCUUUGUGGAUGACAUCAAUGCAGGAAGAAAUUGAAGCUCUACACAAGAACAAGACAUGGGAACUUGUACCACUACCACGUGGAAGAAAAGCCAUUGGAAACAAAUGGGUCUAUAAGAUCAAACGUGAUGGCAAUGACCAAGUGGAGCGGUAUCGUGCGAGACUGGUAGUGAAAGGAUAUGCUCAGAAAGAAGGUAUUGACUUCAACGAGAUAUUUUCUCCGGUGGUUCGACUCACAACAGUCAGAAUAGUCUUGGCAAUGUGUGCUACAUUUGACCUACAUCUAGAGCAGUUAGAUGUUAAAACUGCAUUUCUUCAUGGAGAACUUGAAGAAGAAAUUUAUAUGCUCCAACCAGAAGGUUUUGCAGAAAAAGGAAAGGAGAACUUGGUUUGCAGGUUGAACAAAUCUCUAUACGGUCUCAAACAGGCGCCGAGGUGUUGGUAUAAGAGAUUUGAUUCCUUCAUUAUGAGCCUUGGAUACAACAGACUCAGUUCAGACCAUUGUGUAUAUUACAAGAAGUUUGAAGAUAAUGAUUUCAUCAUUUUGCUGUUGUAUGUGGAUGACAUGUUGGUAGCAGGUCCCAACAAAGAUCGAAUCCAAGAAUUGAAGGCACAGUUGGCUAGGGAGUUUGAAAUGAAGGACUUGGGACCAGCAAACAAGAUUCUAGGGAUGCAAAUUCACCGAGACAGAAAUAACAGGAAGAUUUGGCUCUCACAGAAGAAUUAUUUGAAGAAAAUCUUGCGGCGCUUCAACAUGCAAGAUUGUAAGUCAAUUUCUACCCCACUUCCUGUUAAUUUCAAAUUAUCCUCAAGUAUGUGUCCUAGCAAUGAAGCAGAGAGGAAGGAGAUGUCUCGAGUACCGUAUGCAUCAGUAGUGGGAAGUUUAAUGUUCGCUAUGAUAUGUACAAGACCGGACAUUGCACAAGCAGUGGGAGCAGUCAGUCGAUACAUGGCGAAUCCUGGCGGAGAGCAUUGGAUAACUGUGAAGAGGAUUCUGAGAUACAUCAGAGGAACCUCAGAUGUUGCAUUAUGUUAUGGAGGGUCAGAGUUUACUGUCAGGGGCUAUGUGGAUUCAGAUUUUGCAGGAGACCUUGAUAAAAGGAAAUCCACUACUGGUUAUGUGUUUACACUUGCGGGAGCAGCUGUAAGCUGGGUUUCGAAACUGCAGACCGUUGUGGCUUUAUCUACAACAGAAGCAGAAUACAUGGCAGCUACACAAGCUUGCAAGGAAGCUAUUUGGAUACAAAGGUUAUUGGAGGAGCUCGGGCACAAACAACAGAAAAUUCCUGUGUUUUGUGACAGUCAGAGUGCCUUGCACAUUGCAAGGAAUCCAGCCUUUCAUUCCAGGACAAAACACAUAGGAGUCCAGUAUCACUUCGUUCGUGAAGUAGUGGAAGAUGGAAGUGUGGAUUUACAGAAAAUCCAUACGAAGGAGAACCUAGCAGAUGUUUUGACCAAGCCGAUAAAUACUGAUAAGUUUGUCUGGAGUAGAUCCUCCUGUGGCCUAGCAGCAACGUAGGCAACAUGACUAUGGCGAAGCAGAAAGGAUGGUGUGUGAGAUUGAUUGGUCCUCAAUCAAAUCUCCAAGUGGGAGAAUGUUGAAAGUCAUGGCUGGCGCCGGCCAUCUAGAUGGCCGGUGCCAACCAUUCAACAUUCAACACGGCCCGCCAUUGUUGGUGGUGCCGUGUUGAAUGACUCCAAUAAAAAAAAAAAAAAAAAAGAGCCAAAAUUUUGGCUAUAUAAAGAGGGCUUCCCACCCUCAUUUUUCAUCCAAUUUUGUAGAGAGAAUUGAGAGUUGUGAGAAGUGAUUCUUGCAAGAGCAAAGAAUUUUGUGUGCUUAGUGAUUUGAGAGUUUGGGUGUAUUGGGGUUUUGGGUAGUGAGCUAAAAUACUACAAUACUUGUAACUCCUUUUCACUAGUAUAAUAUUUCUUUCUGUCUUCGCCCGUGGACGUAGGCUAAAAGCCGAACCACGUAAUUUCUGGUAUUUUCUUUUGUGCUUGUUCUUUAUUUUUCUAUCAAUUUUACUUUAGCUGCGUGUCUGCUUCACCCACCAAUUUCCUAACACGAUCUAGAUAUUUUCGCUGUAAAAUAUUUUUCAAACCAACAGUCUAUGCUGGGAUGGUACACAUUUUGAUAAUGGAACAAUUUUAUUAAAUUUCAUAUAUUUUGUUUAUUGAAUGAUUAUUUAUUUGCUAAAUGAAUUAUUUUUAUCGGAAGAUAAAUGGUUACAUUUUUAUUAUUACCGCAAAUAUGAACUAUUUGGUCAACGUACCCAGCCAUGACACAUUUAUGAUUUAUCAUCAAGCACGUUUUACAAAUUAUUUAACAAGUGAUUUUCUCAUAAUCUUGAUUUACCAAAUAUUUUAGGAAAUUAUUUGAAAAGUUGAUUAUUUGAGAAUCUUUAUAGGAAUUGUAUGGGAACCUAAUGCAACCCGAACAUACCCUAAUUCUAUAAUUACUUUCUUUUAAAAAAAGAACACUCUAUAGUUUGUAUUUGCAUAGCCUUCAUUAACAUCAUAUCUGCUACAUUCUUUGCAUCCGAUCCAAUAAUGAGUGGCAGCAAACCAUAUUUUUUGGCCGAUGUGAUUCUGAAAAAAUAUGGCUUAGUGAAACUAAGCAUAUCCCAAUUUUUAACAAACAGUACAAUUCGCCACUAAGUAGCACACUUUUACUUCUGGCCGACCAUUUUUAGUAACCUCCACAUGAUUAACAUUACUUGUAGUCCAAUGAUAUUACGGGUACGUUUUGGUAGGGAUGGUAAAAUCUGGGUCCGGGUUCGGGUUUGGCCUUUCCGGAUCCGGACCCGAAUACUAAAAUGUUAUACCGAACUUGGAUUUAAACCCGGUUUUUGUGAUACCGGGUCCGGAACGGGUUAAACCUGGAUUAUUACGAGUUUUCAGAUUGCGGGUUUUCAACCCGGAUCACAUACAAAUAAAAAAAAAAAUCAAAUACACUUUACAAAUUUGCAAAACCAGAUUCAACAUAAAUCAAAUACAAAGUAAUAAACCAUUUUAAUUUUAUAGAUUUUUAAUUUCAAAACAAUAAACCAUUUACAAAUACAGAUCCAUGACAUACACUCACAAAAUACAAAUCCAUGUCUACAACUCAAAAUCGUGAUUCACGGAUUUGGUUCACAAACUUCAACAAUCGGUGUUCGGCGAAGUAUUGAACAUCGGUGGCUGAUGAUAUGAUGAUGAUGAACACGUCACAGCCGCCAGCGCAAUUCGCAAAAGGCGGAUGAACGACAGCCAAAACAGAGAUCGCAAUGGAGAAACGACAGCCAAAUGAAGGCUGGUGAUGAUGAUGAAUGCGAACACAGCGAAGCGAAGCGAUGAGGAGUGAUGACGAUGAUUUGAUGAAGAGAAUAAUUGAAGAGAAAAAGGAUGAUUUGAUGAAGAGAAGAAGUGAAUGAGAACGAAAAUGAUGAUUUGAUGAAGAGAAAAGAAAAAGGUGAAGAGAGGCGGCUGUGAAAGUAGAAAAGAAAGAGAAGAGAAAAGAAGGAGGACGAAAAGGAUGAUUAAGGCAUCAACAUUUUUUCCCUUUUUUAUAUUAAAAAAUUAUUUAAAUAUUAUGUUAAAAUAAGAAUAUCCGGGUCUGGGUUCCGGAUAUACGGGUUAUCCCAAACCCGGAAUCGGACCUUGAUCCAUCCAGAUUAUUAAAAUUUAUUCUGGAUCCGGAUUUUUUUACACUCCCAUAUGGGUUCAACCUAGCCCGAAUUAUCCGGAUUCGUCCGGGCCCGGGCCGAGUCCGGGUUAUUUUGCCAUCCCUACGUUUUGGUAUUAUUUUUUAUUUAUUUUAUAAUAUAAAAAUAAUUAAUUUUGGUGAAUAUAAAGACGUAUUUGGCAGCUUAAUUUAAAAUAAUAUUUAAAAAUAAAAUCUGUUUGAUUGUUUGUUUGUUGAAAAUAAUAAUAUUAUAUUUUUUAAAAAAUAAUAAACAAAAAAAUUAUUAAAACAGCAGUUUAUAUGUAUGCACAGUAAAGUAAAUAGCUAUAUUUUAUAUUCCAUGGCUCACAUUUGAUUCGAUUGAACACAUGCUAAGCUUUUUUAGGUAUUAUUUUUUAAAUAAUAUUUUUGUAUUUAUUUUAUAAUAUAAAAAUAAUUAUUUUUGGUGAAUAUUAAAACUUAUUUGGUAGUUUAAUUUAGCAUGAUAUUUAAAAAUGAAAUCAACCAAAUAUAUAUUUGAUUAUUUGUUUGUUGAAAAUAAUAAUAUUAUAUUAUUAAAAACUAAUAAAAUAAAAAAAUUGCUGAAUCAGUGAUUUAUAUGCAUGCACAGUAAAGUAAAGGCGCUAUAUUUUAUAUUUGGUCUGUCACUUUGGAUUCGACUGAACACAUGCUAAGUUCUUUUUUGGUAUUAUUUUUUAAAUGAAAAUUUUAUUUUUGUUUUAUAAUAUAAAAAUAAUUAAUUUUGAUGAAUAUAAAAACAUAUUUGCUAGCUUAAUUUAACAUAAUUUUUAAAAGUGAAAUCUAGCAAGCAUAUGUUUGAUUGCUUGUUUGUUGAAAAUAAUAAUAAUAUUAUAUUAUUAAAAAAAUUGUCAUUGCAAUUUUUUACUCGACACGUAAUAACUAACUUUUUGCUACAAAUUUCUUUUUAUAUUAAGCUUUGUGAAUCAUCUCUCCAUGAUAUGAAAGUUUCUAUUGUCAAAGGUUUUGCAAAAAAGAAAUGAAUUGUCAAAGGGUGCUGGGGUUGCCGGCGAUGACCCUCUGAUGCUCAAGUCAGCAUUUCAAAUUUGAUUAUAGAAAGAGAAUUUAAAGAAAGAAGGACAUUAUUUUGUUACCCUUUUUUUUUUCUCUUGGCCUCUGAUGUGGGAAGUUCUGAUCAUUAUAUGGAUAAUUUGAUUCAUGAGGUGGAGGCAUCAUAAUGACACGUGGCAUUGUUUUAGUGACAAGUGUCCGCAAAACUCAUGCAUAAAGACACCUGUCAUUACGUGUCAAGCUUCCUCAUUGACAAGUCUUCUUUAAACACUUGUCAUGAUUUCAAGCUCUUAAUCUUCGUUGGGCUCGAGCACUUCAGCUUUUAUGUUGGUUCCUCGUAAAGAGGAUUGGUUUUGUAGCAUUUCACAUGUAUGUAACAUUCGUAGAAUGUUACUUCCAAGUAAUUGUUGAACAUCUAGGUCAUUAUUCAUAGAAAAUGGACCUAGGUCAUUCUUUAUAAUGAAUAGACCUAGGUCGCUCUUUGUAGACACAUGCCUUUGGCGCUUUUUUGAAGGGCGUUCUACUUAGAAUGGACCUAGGUCCUUCUUUAUAAAGAGUGGACCUAGGUCGUUCUUUGUAGAAAUAUACAUUUGGCGCUUUGCCGAAGAGUUGCCCUUUGGGUGUUUUAUUUAAAAUGGACCUAGGUCCUUCUUUAUAAAGAGUGGACCUAGGUCUCUUUUUGUAGAAAAUGGAUCUAAGUCACUUUUUGUAGAAACUUACCUUUAGCGUUUUGUCAAAAAGUUGCCCUUUGGACGUUUUAUUUAGAACAAACCUAGGUACUUCUUUAUAAAUAGUGGACCUAGGUCGCUCUCUGUAGAAAAUCGAUCUAGGUCAUUUUUUGCAGAAAUUUACCUUUAACACUUGGCCAAAGAAUUGCCCUUUGAGCAUUUUAUUUAAAAUGGACCUAGAUCACUUCUUAUUGAGCCUAUAUUCAUGUGGGCUUUUUUUGGGUUUAUUAUAAUUUUGGUACAACAGAUGCCCCCAGUCUAUUUUUUCAAAUUUGAGAAGUUAGACUUUAUUUAUUACUAUUAUUUACUUCAUGUGCUUUAGGUUAGGCUUGAAUCAUUUUAUGGCUUCCAGCCUUGGCUUUUCAAUGGGUGCGGGCUUAACUCAAUUUUUGAAAUUCAAAAAUUGUAUAUCAUUUCCUAUUAAUUUUCUUUGUUUUUUCAUUUCCGAUGAUCUUUGUUUUUUCUUGCCCAAUUACAACAAAUGACUUAUGGCAUUCCCCUUCCUCUCAUCUAUAAAAACCCUCAAAACUCCAUAAUAUAUUCACAAGCACUACUAAAAACUUAAUGAGAGAAUUUACCUUAGAGGGAGACUCUUUCAAUUUAUAGUGAAGAGGGUGAGCAUUUUUUGAAGGAGUUUCACGGAUUCGCGCCAGAGCAGUGCUCAAUUUUGGUGUCUCUCCGGCUGUAAGGUAUUUUUUCCGUUCUUUCUUUUUAUUUAAAAAAAUGCAUUUAUUGACAUAUAAUAAAAUGUCCAUAUGAAACGUCAACAAUUUGCAUGCAUGUGAAAACUUAGCAAUUUGCAUGCAAGUGAAGAUUUAAUUAUUUGCAUGCAUGUUGAAUUUAAUAUAUGCAUAUAUUAAAAUGUUAUAUGCAUGUUUAUUGAAACUUCUGAUAUGAUGUAUGUGGAUGCACAAAUCAGUGCAUGGCUAUAUAUAUAUAUAUAUAUAUACACGUGUAAAGUUCUAGCCAUUUUAUUUAUUUAUUUAUUUUUGCAUGCUUAUUCACAUAAACUUAAAUAAAUGUAACCACAUAUAUAAUUUUCGUAUGCAAAGACUUAGCUUUUAGCAUGAGAAUUCGCAUAGAGUUUGAUUAAUAGGUUCCUAAUAUGGCCAAGUUACCUGAAACUGAAGCAACCAAUGGCGAGACUUGUAGUAAGGAUUCAUUCAAACAUGUAGGCGUUAAAAUUGAAUCUGAGGAUGGGGAAAAUAACUUUAAAGUUUGGUAUGACAAAAAUUGCGCUAAGACUUCUAGUGUGUGGACCAUGGACAAUUGCAGUAAUUCACUUACUUGGGUCGGUGUCGAAAUACUGCAGAUCAUGUACCAAAUUCCCCGUUCUAUUGAAAUGAACUUGUUGGAGAGUGAUUUGAUUAGCGAACCCCCUACUGGCUGUGUUGGGUUUACAAAAGCAAUGUUCAAAGUUGGAGCUUCUCUUCCUCUUGCCCCAAAUAUUUGAAAGCUUCUACAUUCUUUCGGACUGCUCCUGCUCAGCUAGUUCUUACUGCUUGGAGAGCGAUAAUUGGAAUGUGGGUUGUAUGGAGGAAGCUUGGAUUUUCAGAUCCGUCUGUGAUCGAGUUCCAAUAUCUAUUUCAUUUAUGUCGUAACCCCAAAACUUAUGACAUUUGGCACUUCAAAGCUUAUGAAGAUUCCAAUGAAAUUUUACUUAAUCAUGUUCACAUCUCAAUCAAGAGGUGGAAGCAUUUUUAUUUUUUGGUUAGUGGAAAUUGGGAGUUUGGGGAUGAAGUCGUUGAUGCCCGGGUUCGGGUUCCAACACACUUUCGUGAACCAAGUGCGAUUUAUAUAUAUAUAUAUUAUGUGGCACAUAUUUAAUUUUUUUACUAACCUUAGUUUCACUUCUUAAUUGUAGAUAUUUGGAAAAGACCCACGAUCCGUGGAGUAGAGGCGAAAAACAUUAGGUCAGCUCAAAAGUUGCCUCCAGAAGAUCGUGAUUGCAACUUCCUAUGCUUAUUCAAUAUUUUCACCGAGAAUCACAUAAUUCCAAGUAGUCCAUUAUCCAUUCAGUCAACUAAACGUAUAAUGGAUUCUUCAACUAAUGAACCUGUUGGAGGAAAAAAAAGAAGAAAAAGGCCAAGGUUAUCUGAAAAGGCAAAACCCAUUGAGAGGCUGAGACUGUCAGAUAAGACAAAGAACGUGGAGAAGCCACGACUCAUGGAGAAGGGCUUUACUUCCCAGCAACAGACAAAGGAUCAGAAUAAUGGUACAUUAGUCCAAACUUUGAUGCCGAAAGAAGUGACUAAAAAAUUUACUGUUGAUCAAAUCAUCGAUCCAUCUACGGUUCUUGCCUAAGGUGUUAAUUCAUCACCAGUUCGCGCUCAUCAAGCCGAUGAUGUUGAUUGGGACCAAUUUGUAAGUGAGGCUGGAGGAUCGAGUGUGAAGGAUUUGGGGGCCAUAGAGUCUCUCAAGGUUGUAGUGAGACUUGUUAUAAAGGUAAAGAACUUUUUCCUUCAUUAUGUUUACCCUUCAUUUUUUAUUCUGCCUCUCCUUAUUUUUUAUUUUAUUUUUUUGUAGCAUUCGGAGCAUUUUUCAUCCUAUGAAACAUGAGUUAGGGCUGCCGAAGAUCGUGUUGCUGCCACAAGUAAAGAACUAUCUCAAGCUCUUGCUGCUAAAAAGAAUUUAGAAUCUGAGUUCAUUGCCCUCCAUAAAGAAAAGUUAACAAUUGAAAGUCAGUUGCAUUUAGCCAAAGAGGAGCAAAAAAAGGCUGAAGAAAUAAUUGCUCUCGAUGCUGAGAGGAUUUCUAGUUUUGAAACCCGUGUAAAAGAUCUUGAAGAGUCAAAUGAACAAUUUGAGGAUGAACUUUUGGAAGCACAAGCUGAAAUUGAAAAAGCUAGAAAUAAAGAGUAUGAAGAGUACACGAGUGGCGGAAAUGAAGUCCCCAUCGGUUGACCAUCAGAUAUCAUAUUACCUGCGACUCUGGGUUUUGAUGAUUGCUAUGGAGAUCUUCACCUUCGUCCUCCUGAGUUAGAUGAUGAGAUGUGCAAGGAUGUUGAGGAGGGUGAACACAUCAUGGAUCCUUAGAUUGUUCCUAAGAUCAUUUUUCAGCAUUUUAAUUUUUCUUUCUUGUUGGAUUUUAAUUUUCUACGGAUGUAAUCAUGGCUGCAAUUUUGGCUUCUUUUCGGCGUAACUCGCAGCAUGAAAUGCUUUAUUUUCCUAAUGAAAGUUUAGCCUAAAAUUUCUUAAUUUUGACCAAGUAAUUUUUAUUCGAAGUCGAUUUGACUUAACACCAUACAUUCCUUUAUAUAGAUCUUUUCUUGUAGACGUUUGAUUUAAAAAUUUUUAUCAGCAAUCAGACUUAGGACAUUCUUUUAAAAGAAAUGACCUACGUCUUUUUAUUACAACUUGCCGAUCGAUAUUUUUCAUAGAAAAACAUUUCUAAGUAACUAGAACAAGGCCAUUUUUCACAAGAAAAUACCCAAAUCCUUUUGUUACAAUUUGCCUAUGGGUAGUUUCCUUAGAAAUAAUGGAUUGGACUUAAGUCAUUCUUUUCAAGAAAAGACUUAAGUCCAUUUGUUACAAUUUGCUUGUGGGUAGUUUUCUAAAAAAAAAAUAUUUCUAAGGAAUUGGACCUAGGUCAUUUCUUGCACAGGUCAUUCUAUGCAAGAAAAGACCUAGGUCCCUUUGUUGCAAUUUGUCUACGGGUGUUUUCCUUAUAAAAUUAUUUCUAAGGAAUUAGACCUAGGUCCCUUUGUUACAAUUUGCCCGCAUGCGUUUUCCUCAAAAAAUUAUUUCUAAAGAAUUGGACCUAGGUCAUCCUAUGGAAUAAAGGACCUGGUCAUCUUAUGGAAGAAAAGAUCUAAGUCCAUUUGUCAUAAUUUUCUCGCAGGCGUUUUCCUCAGAAAAUUAUUUCUAAGGAAUUGGACCUAGGUCAUCCUAUGCAAGAAAAGACCUAGGUCCCGUUGUUACAAUUUUCCCGUGGGCGUUUUGCUUAGAAAAUUAUUUCUAACAAUUUCUCUAGGUUGACACUACAUAUAUGUUUAUAAAACUUCUGCGAUAACAAGCCUUUAAGCUUUUCGUAACUUGAAUUCACAAUUGACUAAGUGCUCAUUAUGAAUUAUACAAGUUUAACAUAAUGCAAUGUCACUUCGCAUAAUAUCAUUAUAAGAAUAACAAAAGAAAUUUAAGGCAACCAAUCUUUUAUUAGUCCGUAGGUUAAUAAGAAAACUUGUUCGAUUAUAAAAUUUUUCAGACUUUACUGAUAAUACACUCUAAGGUGCUCGACAUUCCAAGCGUGCCUCAGGAUAUUAGCGUGAAGAGUAUAAAGGGAAUAGGUCCCUGGCCUUACAACAUCUUUCAUAAUGUAAGGUCUUUCCCAAUUUGGCCUAAGAUUCCUAACCCCUGGAUCUUGCGUAUUAGGAAGAACUUUCUUCAAGACCAAAUCUCCAAUUCUAAAACAUUGAUUCUUUACACGAGCAUUAUAAUAUCGAGCCACUCUCCCUUGAUAAGCAGCCACUCUGAUCAUUGCUUGAUCUCGUUUUUCUUCUAAGAAAUCUAAGUUUUAAAGUUGAAGAUCAUCAUUGCGCUCGAGAUUGAAAUGUUGGACUCAAUAAGUUGGCAUUCAUAUUUCUACAUGAACUACAGCUUCAGUGCCAAAAGCCAGAGAGAAUGGGGUUUCGCCGGUGGGUAUCCUUGGAGUAGUUUUGUAUGACCAUAGGACAAAGGGAUGCUCUUCCAGUCAAGCACCUUUAGCUUUUUCAAGCUUAAUCUUGAGGGUUUGCUUUAUCACUCGAUUGGUUGCCUCUACUUGCCCAUUUGCUUGAGGAUGAGCUGGAGAGGAAUAGUGAUUUGUUAUGCCAAGGGCCUUACAGAAGGCUUUAAAACUGGCAUUGUCAAAUUGCUUGCUGUUAUCAGUGAUGAUGGUUUGAGGGACUCCAAAUCUAUAAAUGAUGUUUCUUUUAAUGAAGUCUGUUGUCUUAUUUUCAGUAAUUGUUGCCAAAGGCUCUGCUUCGACCCACUUAAUGAAGUAGUCUAUAGCGACAAUACCAAAAUUUACUUGGACUUUUCCUGUAUGCAAAGGGCCAAUAAGAUCAAUACCCCACUGGGCAAAAGGCCAAGGUGAAAACAAAGGAAUUAAGUCUUCCAGUGGCUACUUGGAAUUUUAGCAAACCUUUGACAUUUAUCACAUUUCUUCGUCAACUCAAGGGCAUCUUCAUGCAUGAUUGACCAAAAAUAUCCUUGCCUUAUUGCCUUGUAUGCUAGCAUUCUGCCACCAAAGUGGUUUCUACAUAUUCCCUCGUGAAUUUCUCUUAAAACAUAAUUUGCAUCCGCAAGAGCAAGACAUUUCAAGAGCGGAAGAAAGAAGCCUCGUUUGUAUAGUUCACCAUCAACAAACAGGUAUCUGGCAGCUCUAAGUCUGACUUUUCGAGCUUCAUUUUUAUCUGCUGGUAACUCCCUGUUUAUCAAAUACUUUUCAAUAGGCUCCAUCCAUAUUGCCCUUCGAUCUGUAGUCGCAAUUUCUUUAACCUCUGGUCGCAUGAUACUUGGUUUUGGGAUCGUAGCAAUUGGGAUUGACCUCAACAAAUUUCCUUCAGGUGUAGAUUCGAGUUGGACUAAGACAUCUACUCGUUGGUUUUGUUCUCGAGGAAUUUGCCUUAUUUCAAACCUCUCAAAAUCUUUCAGCAACUCAUUAACUCGCUCAAGAUAAGCAAUCAUGUUUAAAUCUCUGGCUUCAUAGUUACAAUUGACUUGAUUGACUACUAGCUGUGAGUCGCUAAAUAUCAACUAGUUCUUCACACCAAGGGCUUGCACCAAUCUAACUCUAGCAAUCAGGGCUUCAUACUCGACCUCAUUAUUAGUUGCAUCAAAUCCGAAUCGCAGGGCACAUUCAAUUUCUGUUUUAUCCAUGUGAUAAUAAUCAAUCCUCAUCUACUGCCCUUACUAUUAGAUGUGCCAUCAACAUAAAGAGUCCAUUGCUCGAAUUGUUCUCCCAUAACUUCUGAAUAUGGAGUUUCUACUUCUAUAAAGUCUGUAAUGAAAUCUGCUACUGCUUGCCCUUUAACUAAAGUGCGAGACUUAAAUUGGAUAUCAAAUUCACCCAACUCUACUGCUGAUUUGACCAAUCUUCCUAACACAUCAGGUUUUGCACAUCAGGUUUUGCCAAAGUCUGUUUUAAUGGUUGAUUUGUUAAUACGAUGACCUCAUGGGCUUAGAAGUAUGGUCGCAAUUUCUGCGCUGAAAUGACUAGCGUUACAACAACAUUCUCUAAAUUUAAAUAUGGAAUCUCUGCAUCGGCCAAAGCUUGACUUGUGUAAUAAAUCGGCCUUUGGACUCCAUUGUCAUCUCGAACAAGAAUGGAACUUGUUGCUGAGUUAAAAACUACUAAGUACAUGUAAAUUAACUCGCCCUUAGAUGGUUUGACUAAAAGCGGUGGAUUGCUGAGAUAGUCUUUUAGCUUCUGAAACGCUUCUUUGCAUUCUUCAGUCCAUAUCAUCUCUUUCAUUUUCUUUAAGGCUUUAAAAAAAGGAAGGCAUUUGUUAAUAACCUUUGAGACAAAACGAUCUAGAGCAUCAACUAACCCAGUUACCUGCUGGAUUUCUUUCACAUUCUUUGGUGACUUCAUGUUGACCAAGGCUUGGAUUUUUUCAGGGUUAACUUCAAUUCCUCUUUAAUUUACCAUAAAGCCUAAAAACUUUCCUGAGGCCACUUCAAAGGCACAUUUAGCUGGAUUAAGCUUUAUCUUGAAGUUCAUUAAAAUAUCAAAAGUCUUAUGGAGAUUUCUGAUGCGAUCAAUUGAGUUUUUGCUUUUUGUCAGCAUGUCAUCCACAUAGACUUCCAUUGUGUGACCUAUCUGAUUGGCAAACAUUGCAUCCACGAGCCUUUGAUAGGUUGCCCUAACAUUCUUAAGCCCAAAACGCAUGACUUUAUAACAAUAAAGGCCUCGAUCAGUAAUGAAUGAAGUAUUUUCUUGAUCAGGCUCAUGCAUCCGAAUUUGGUUAUACUCGGAAUAGGCGUCCAUGAAACUAAAACGUUCAUGCCCAGCUAUGGCGUCUACAGGCUGAUCAAUUCGUGGCAAAGGGAAGCGAUCAUUAGGACAUGCCUUGUUGAGGUCAGUAAAGUCUACGCACAUCCUUCACUUUCCAUUGGCUUUCUUUACCAUGACAACGUUUGCAAGUCAUUGUGGAUACCUAGUUUCUUUAAUAAAUUUUUCCUUUAAGAGUUUGUCCACCUCAUCUUUAACAGCUGCAGCUCUCUCAGCAUUCAAACUUCUCAUCUUUUGUCGAACAGGUUUUGUAAGAGGCUUAGUACUUAAGCGAUGAACAAUUAUCCUCGGAUCAAUUUUCGGCAUAUCCUGGUGAGUCCAUGCAAACACAUCUGAGUAUUCCUUUAGGAAAUCCACAAGUUCUUCUCAAAGUGGAUUGACUAAUUAGGACCCAAUUUUAACUACCUUGUUGAAUCAUCUCCAAGGGGAAUCUCGACCAAGUCUUCAACGGGAUUCGCUUGUUAAUCAUCCCUUACUGUUUUGGGGUCCAGACUUGUGAUUUGAAAUGACUCAUUUCUUUUCCUGAAGGAAAUCUCAUAACAUUUACAAGCCUCUUUCUGAUUUCCUCGAACACUCAUAUGCCAGCCUCCGUAGGAAACUUCAAAGUAUAAUGAUAAAUAGAAGUUGCGGCCUUUAAUAGCAUAUAAGGUUAGUCGACCUAAGACUGAAUUGUAUGCACUCGGUUGAUCUACCACUAUAAAUUGAACCAUAGAAGUAACUUUAGUCGGAGUUUUACCAAAGGAUACAACAAGCUCAAUCAUUCCCUCAAGGAUAACACUUCCCCCAGCAAAUCCAUGCGAUGGAGUAAUGUAUGGCAUUAAUUAGGAUCUUUCCAAUCCCAUUUUUUGCAAAAGCUGAAAGAAAUAAUAUAUCAACUGAGCUUCCAUUAUUAAUUAAGAUUCGGUGAAGUCGCUUGUUUGCCACAAGUAGAGUUACAACAAUGGCACACAAUGAGGGUGAUGAAUGCCCUGAGUGUCCUCUUUAGAAAACAUUAUUGGAGUGUCAUGAAACCUUGAAUUCUGUAGGCGAUCUGUUAAAUUUAUUUCCAGCCCACUAGGCUCAUGCCUUAUUUGCCUGGCUAAGUUCUUCCUCACCUUGCCAGAAUUACCAGCAAGAGGACUACCCCAAAUAUGGUUGACAUCAGACAUAUUAUCAUCACUAUCAUUUUCUUUCUUUUUCGCUUUGUCUUUUCUUAAACAUUUUUGUAGGUCUUUAUUUUCUCGACUACUUUGGCCUUUGACAUAUUCUUGUAGCUGACCUUGUCACAUCAAACUUUCAAUUUGUUCUUUGAGGUCAAAACCUCAGAUGUAUCGUGUCCAACAUCUUUAUGAAAGUCGCAAUACUUCUUUUGGUUUCUCCGUGAACGAUCAUAUUUCAGUGGAGGAGGAGCUUUAAACAAAGUGGAAUUUUUCACUUGCAUCAAAAUGUGCUCCCUAGGAGCAUUCAACUCAUUAUAGUUAGUAAAUUGUAUAUGAGGCCAAAAAAGAGGCUCUUGAGAGCUAAGUUUGUCCUUAGGGCGGAAUUGAUCCCCUCUAGAAGCUUGAUCGGGUCGUCCAAGUGUUACAUCACACCUGUCUUCCUUCUUCUUUUUUUUUUUACUUGAUUCACCUUUUCCUCGCCUUUUCUUACUUUGAAAUCUUUCUUUUGCAUUAGCAUAUUUCUAAGCCUGAGAGAGCAUCUCUUAAUAUAUUGAUGGUGGAUUCUUUAUUACUGACCACCAUAGUCUUCCUAUCUGUAGGCCUUCCAUUAACCUGGAAAGAGCAACCCCAUCAUCAUAUCCAUCCAUUUGAGUGGUCUCAGCAUUAUACCUUUGAAUAUACUCCCUUAACGAUUCACCCUUAUAUUGUUUCACUGUCAAGAGGCAUGUAAUUGGUUUUCCUCUUUGUCUUGCACUACAAAAAUGCAUCAUAAAUUCUCGGAUCAAUUUGAAUAAAGAAAUAGAGUUUGGCUUUAACCUUUGAAACCACCUUCUUGCAGCCCUAGAUAAAGUGAGAAGAAAAGCCCGACAUAAAAUGGCCAAAGACACGUCAUGAACUUCCAUAAAAGAGUGAUAUAGCUCGACAUGCACCAUAAGAUCCAUUUGUCAGUCGUAAGGCUCCAUUAAUGGAAGUCGAAACCCUGACGGUUAUCUAGCUCUCAUGAUUUCUUGUGUAAAUGGUGGUUCAGACUCAGCCAUCAUAUCGUCUUGUGGUCUCAUUCCAUGAACCAUUUGUUUAAGCCUUUGCAUUCUCUCUUGUAAAUCAGAUGGCUCAUUAUUAUCUCAAGUUGCUCUUUGUCGUGUCCGUCUCUGAUUGAGAGCAUGUUUCAAAUUAUCAUCAUUCAAAUCAUUUUUUGAUCUUGUCUGGGAAGAGCCGGAGUUUGCUGCAUUGCUAUCAAAGUUGUUGCAGUUAGCUUGUUCAUCAUUUCGGGCUUGAAAUUAAUCGAACAUUCUAUUGAAGUUUAUUGUCAGCUGCUCUAUUUGCCUUUAAAGUCGGGCAAUCCUGCCGCACCUUGGCGACGAGGCUAAACGUUUGGAUCUGGCUAUAGAUGUUAUGCAUCAAAUUGUUGAUUUGGAUUUUAUUAGAGGUUAGGUGGAUGUAUUGGGACUGUAGAUUCACUUCCAGGAUCUACAACAUAUCUUUGUCGUCAAAAAUAAAUCUUGCCAUCCCUAGAAAUUUCAUCAUCAGCAUCAAGCUCGAAGUAGUUAUAGUUGUCAUCCAUGCUCAAGAUGAUCACAUUGGCUUUUUAUUCAUCCCCACAAACGGCGCCAGCUGUCAAUGCAAUUUUUUGCUCGACACAUAUUAACUUUUUACUUCAGAUUCAUUUCUAUAUUAAGCUUUGUGAAUCAUCUCUCCAUGAUAUGAAAGUUUCUAUUGUCAAAGGUUCUGCAAAAGAAAUGAAAUUGUCAAAGGGUGUCAGGGUUGCCGGCCAUGACCCUCUGACGCUUAAGUCAGCAUUUCAAUUUUGAUUAUAAAAAGAGAAUUUAAAGAAAGAAGGACAACAUUUCGUUGCCCUUUUUCUCUUGGCCUCUGAUAUGGGAAGUUUUGAUCAUUAUAUAGGCAAUUUGAUUAAUGAGGUGAAGGUGUCAUCACGACACGUGGUAUUUUUUUAGUGACAAGUGUCCGCAAAACUCAUGUAUAAAGACACCUAUCAUUACAUGUCAAGCUUGCUCAUUGACAAGUUUUCUUUGAACACUUGUCAUGAUUUCAAGCUCUUAACAUUCGUUGGGCUUAAGCACUUCAGCCCUUAUGUUGUUUCCUUUUAAAGAGGAUUGGUUUUGUGGAAUUUCGCAUGUAUGUAACCUUCGUAGAAUGUUACUUCCAAGUAAUUGCUGAACAUCUAGAUUAUUAUUCGUAGAAAAUGGACCUAGGUCAUUCUUUAUAAUCACCUAGUAAUUGCUGAACAUCUACGAAGGUUACAAGUAAUUCUUUAAAAUGGACCUAGGUCAUUCUUUAUAAUGACCUAGCAAUCGCAUGUAUGUAACUUUCGUAGAAUGUUACUUCCAAGUAAUUGUUGAACAUCUAGGUCAUUAUUCGUAGAAAAUGGACCUAGGUCAUUCUUUAUAAUGAAUGGACAUAAGUCGCUCUUUGUAGACACAUACCUUUGGCACUUUUUCGAAGGGCGUUCUACUUAGAAUGGACCUAGGUCUUUCUUUAUAAAGAGUGGACCUAGGUCGUUCUUUGCAGAAAUAUACAUUUGGCGCUUUGCCAAAGAGUUGCUCUUUGGGCGUUUUAUUUAAAAUGGACUUAGGUCCUUCUUUAUAAAGAGUGGACCUAGGUCGCUCUUUGUAUAAAAUCGAUCUAGGUCACUUUUUGUAGAAACUUACCUUUAGCGCUUUGUCGAAGAGUUGCCCUUUGGGCGUUUUAUUUAAAAUGGACCUAGGUCCUUCUUUAUAAAGAGUAGACUUAUGUCGCUUUGGUAAAAAAUCGAUUUAGGUCACGUUUUGUAGAAACUUACCUUUAGCGUUUUUGCCCAAAAAUUGCUCUUUAGGCGUUUGAUUUAAAAUGGACCUAGGUCACUUCUUAUUUGGCCUAUACUCAUGUGGGCUUUUUUUUAGGCUUAUUAUAAUUUUGAUACAACAAAAAUAAAAAAAUAAAAAAAUUUUGAAACAGUAGUUUAUAUGCGUGCUUAGUAAAGUAAACAUUUCGUGGGUCACAUUUGAUUCAAUUAAACACGUGCUAGUUCUUUAUUGGUAUCAUUUUUUAAAUGAUAUUUUUGUAUUUAUUUUAUAAUAUAAAAAUAAUUAAUUUUUUUGAAUAUAAAAACAUAUUUGGUAGCUUGAUUUACAAUAAUAUUUAAAAAUGAAAUCAAUCAAACAUAUGUCUAUUUAUUUGUUUGUUAAAAACAAUAAUAUCAUAUUAAAAAUUAAGAAAUAAAAAAACUGUUGAAACAGUAGUUUAUAUGCGUGCACAGUAAAGUAAAUGGCUAUGCUUUAUAUUUCGUGGGUCACAUUUGAUUUUGAUUGAACACAACUAAGUUUUGUUUUGGUAUUAUUUUUUAAAUUAUAUUUUUGUACUUAUUUUAUUUUAUGAUAUAAAAGUAAUUAAUUUUGGUGAAUAAAAAAAACAUAUUUGAUAGCUUAAUUUAAAAUAAUAUUUAAAAAUAAAAUUAAUCAAAUAUAUGUUUGAUUGUUUGUUCUUUGAAAAUAAUAAUAUUAUAUUAUUAAAAAUAAUAAAAUAAAAAAAUGGUUGAAACAAUAGUUUAUGUGCACGCACAGUAAAAUAAAUAGCUAUAUUUUAUGGUAAAUGAUAAGUUACAUUCAUGCAAUUUACACCCACACACUAUUUAUGUAUGUUUUACUUUUGUUUAACAUGGGUCCCAGAAUUAGAACACUGUCUAUGUAAUAGUAAAUUAUUAUUUUUCAAUUUACUGUGACAAGUUUUUAAAUGAGUUGCACUCAUUCUCACACAACGUGAAAAUAGGCAGAAAAACAAUGCCACCAAAACGCCUUUUCUUUUUUUCUUUUUUUUCUUGUUUUAAAACAUAAAGCACUAAUCCAAAAACUGUAGCAAACUGUCGUGAACCACCUGAAAUUUUAGGCCGAAUAGGUUAAAUCUAUAAGCCAAGGUGUGUUAGUUUUGCUUGAUUCUAGAAGCUUCUAUCACUAGUCUUUUCUAGUAUAUUCUCACUUGUACAUAACUAAGAAAUCUCCAGAUUUUGCUAGAGUAUUGUAACAUAUAGUUUGUACAUAGAUUUUCCUAUAUCAAUCUAAGCUUUGCUGGGUACGAGAGCUCUCACUAAGUCUUGAGAACUCUUUAGAGUUAGAACCUUAUAGAACUAAGCAAACUUCUUUAUAAAUAAAGUAGGGCGCUUAGCAUUUUCAGCAAGCAACUCAAGCAAGUAAUCUUGCAAGCUAUCAAGCUCUCUUGUGCACACACUCUUGUGAAUAACACUGAUUCUCUUUGUCUCAAUUGCUCGCUUUUCUCUCUAGCUCUUUCGUAAGCAAUUUCGCAUACUUUUAACUAGACGAGAAGCUUAAUAGGUUUACUUUGCAAAUGUUGGGCUAUAGUUGCAUAAGCACUGCAUGGGUUUGUUGUGCAAUAUACUCAUUCCGUGACAAAACACACCAUAAUUUUCCAUGAAUUAACAAAAUGAUGGAGACUGGGGGUAAGAAACCACUAUGUUAUCAUAACUUUGCCUUUUAGUAGGUUAUCUCAAAUAACAUACAUAUUAUGAAUAUGUGUCCUUCAUAGAUACAAAAAGAAAUAUUCAAAAGGAUAAUCCUGAAAAAUCAUAAAAUCAUUUAAUAAAUUAUACUUGUGAAUAUAUAUGUUGAAAGAAUCAUCUAUAUAUAAUUCUAUAAACACCAUUGAGAUACACUUGUGCCCUUAAAAAAUAGAGUAAUAAUAUAAUCAUAAAUGUUGAUGCAUAUUUCUAGUCAACUUAGAAAAUUAAUUUACGCGGGGGCGAUAUAAUGAAAAGACACAGAGACUUAAUAUGGUUCGGCUUUUGGCAUACGUCCACGGGUAGAGAAAGAUAAAUAUUUUAUUAAGAUCGCACUUACAACUUGACUUUCUCUCUCUUUGCUAUUUUUUUUUUUUCGAUGCCUUACACUAUGAGAGACCUCUGCUUUUAUAGUCUUCUAUAGAUAAAGUCCUUUUCUAACUUGAACUCUAUCUAACUUUCCUCUAUCCUCUAGGAUUUUAAUUACAAAGUAUUUCUACCUUUUCAUAAGUUGUAUCUGAGUCAAACUCUACUUAAUUUGCUUCUAGGCCAAGCAAUGCCCUUCUAUUGUCCUUCAACGAUAGCUCCUCUACUCGGACUUGACUUUUCUUGUGCGAUCCAUAAUCUAGAACUGAGUCAAGGGCUGUCUGGAACCAUGAUUUUUGCCAUCCUCCACUCCUGCUCCCUGUUCCUGGGGAACCUAAUUCUUGCUCUAUGUUCCUGGGGGAACAUGAUUCUUGUUCCCCAUUCUUGGGGAGCAUGGCUUCUGGGGGUCUUAAGGGUAUAAUUCCUGCAUAUUUUCUUAGGCCCAUUCCUGGGGUAGAAUCCUUAUUCCCAUUCUUGGGGAGCACACUGGGGCCCAUUCCUAGAGGUGAAACCUCUGCUCCAUAUUCUUGGGGGAGUAUAUUUUCUAGGGCCCACUCCUGGAGGUGAAACCUCUGCUCCCCAUUCUUAGGGGAACAUAUUUUCUGGGGCCCCAAUCCUGAGGGUAAAAUCUUGCUCCCCAUUCUUGGGGGAGCACACUUUCUGGGGUUCAUUCCUGGAGGUAGAACUUCUACUUCCCAUUCUUGGGGGCGCAUAUUUUCUGGGGCCCCAGGGUGGAAUCCUGGGGGCAGAAUCUCUACUCCCCAUUCUUGGGGGAGCAUAUUUUUUGGGGCCCCAAUCCUAGGGUAGAAUCUUGGGGUAGAAUCCCUGCUCCCCAUUCUUGGGGGAGCAUACUUUCUAGGGCCCAUUUCUGGAGGUAGAACCUCUACUUCUCAUUCUUGGGGGAGCGUAUUUUUUGGGGCCCCAAUCCUGGGGAGGAACCUUGGGGUAGAAUCCCUGCUCCCCAUUCUUGGGGGAGCAUACUUUCUAAGACCCAUUCCUGGAGGUAGAAUCUUUAUUUCCCAUUCUUAGGGAAGCAUAUUUUCUGGAGCCCCAAUCUUGGGGGUGGAACCCUGGGGUAGAAUCUCUGCUUCCCAUUCUUAAGGGAGCACAGCUUCUAGGUUUCAUUCCUGAAGGUAGAACCUCUACUCCCCAUUUGGAGGAGCAUAUUUUCUAAGGCCCCAAUCCUGUUUGUGGAACCCUGGGGUAGAAUCCCUACUCCCCAUUCUUGGAGGAGUACACUUUCUAGGGCCCAUUCCUAGAGCUGUAACCACUGCCCCCAUUCCUGGGAGCAUAUUUUCUAAGGCCCCAAUCCUGGGGAUGGAACCCUGGGAGUAGAAUUCCUGCUCCCCAUUCUUGGGGACGCACACUUGUUGGGGGUAACACUUAGCGCUUUAUUGACUACUUUAUAUUUUCUGGGGUAAAAUCUCGUUUAGUCCUUAUAUUUUAAGGUUAGUGCUCGUUCAGUCCCUAUAUUUUUAAAAAUACCUCAAAACAUCCCCGACAUUAAAUUAUUAACACAUUUCCUCUUACUUUUUGUUGCUUUUCGCUUAAUUUUUACAAUAUUACUCUCUUACAAUAUUUUUUUGGACAUUAGUAAAAAGAAAAAAAAUUAAUUAUCAAUUUAAUCUCAAAAAAUAAAAUAGAAACAAAAUUAAUAUAUGUUACUUAUUUGUAACACACUAUUGAAGAAUUAAUAUAUUAAUUUUUUUAUUACUAAUGUCCAAAAAAAGGUAAUUUAAUUAUUUUUACAAUAAAAAUUUUUUGGACGCAUGUAAGCUUUCACAAAAAUUAAUAUAUAUUCUUUUUGUUUUUAUUUUAUUUUUGGGGUUAAAUUGAUAAUUUAAUUUUUUUUCUUUUUAUUAAUUUUAUAAAAAGAAACAUUAUUGUAAAAGGAUAAUAUUGUAAAAGCAAGUCAAAAAAAUAAAAAGUAACAGCAGGGAUGUCAAUAAUUUAAGGGUAGGGAUAUUUUGAGGUAUUUUUAAAAAUAUAUGGACUAAAUAAGCACUAAUUUUAAAAUAUAGGGAUGAAACGAGCGUUUACCCUAUUUUCUACAAUAAUAAAUAUGUUCGUAUAAAUAUUAUUAUACAAAUGAAUGUGGAAAAUAAAAUUUAAUAUUUUUGUUGACCGAUCAUCUUGACCCAAUCUAUAAAAGAUUGUCCGUAAAAAUGCUUGUGAUUCUAUAAUUAUUCUUAAAAAUAUAAUGACAUCUUUUGACAAUUCGGGUUGCAUUAAUGUAUCUGUUGUCAAUUUCAAAAUAUUUCUUUGUUGGCUUUGCUUAUUUUCUUUGAAGAGAUUGUAGAGUAGCAAAACAAAACUAUACAGCAACUUCAAUUAUAUUUCAAUAUGUUUUUUCAUUAAAAAGUAGAGGGGACGAAAUCCAAAUCAUUUUUUUUUUUUUGACAAUUCAUGAAUGAAGGAGAAUGGAGAUAACAGCUAAGCAAACAACUCAGCUCAUUCGGUCAAUAUCUAAACAUCAAUCUCUCUCUCUCUUUCUCUCUCUCUCUCUCUCUCUCUCUCUCUCUCGAUGCUUCACACUCUAAUUUCUUCUGUUUAUAGAUUUUCUUUUCUUUUCCCUUUUUUUCUCAGAGGGAAGCAACCUUGAAAGCAAAGCCUUUACUAAAUGAAAGCUCAUUUGACUUGUAUUGCAAUGGCUUCCCAGAUCGCAUCAGACUUACAGAUAUGGGGUUGUUCUUCAGGGCCUAAUGUAUUUUUACCAACAUGGCAAGCUAUAGAGGUACAGGACACUAUUUGCAGCCGCUUGAAACAUAAGCCACCAAUAUUGCAUGCUUUUACUACCGUUUCCAAAUCUCUCCCAGCUUUUAUAAGAGAUUGAAGACAACGAAAGGCCAUGAAGAUUUUGGUUCAUUUUUCCCCUGGUCCUUUCUAAGGAAGGCUAUUUCUUCCGUGUUUCCUAAACUUAGUUUACUCUUCUUUCUGCCAUCACUAGCUCUCUCGGGUGGACGAACCUGUUCCAUUUAUUCUUUUUAAAGAUAAUAAGAAAUUGAAAACUUAUAUAAAUAGUGUACAAAAUCAUAUUCUUAUUAAUACCUCAAUUUUAUGCUUUAAUAGGUACCCACAGAGCUAGUAAGUGAACGUAGAAUUCCUUUAUUGAAUAAAAGGGAUGUUUGCCUAGCAAAAAUUUAUAACCCUCCUAGUGUGCCUAAAGUGUUUUUGGAUCAAUUUGAGAGUGAUUUCACAUCAUUUCUCAAAUUUUGGUCAUAAGAGUUGAAGACUGGAGGUCGUAUGGUUCUUAACUUUUUAGGUAAUGAUAAAUAUCAUACUGGUAUCUUCGAGCUUUUGGGAAUGGUGUUAAACGACAUGGUCUCUGAGGUAUCCUCUUUCUGUUUGUUACACAUAUAUACAAGUAUAAUAUUCUAAAUAAGAUAUGUUUACACAAAGUUAGUUUUAUACAUAUUAGUUUUAUACACACACACAUAUACUUUCUUACAUGAAAAUUAUUAGGUGAAUUAUUGCUAAACGAUGUUAUUUUGUAACAAAGCAAUUACAAUGUCCACUUGUAAAAAUCGAUCAUUAUUUAUCACGCCUCUAGUUCAUAAAUUUAUAUAUGUGUGUGAGAAUUUUAUAUACUUUAAAGAGAAUUACUAUCUCUUUUGAACUAACUAGGGGCUGAUUGAAGAAUCAAAAUUGGAGUCAUUUAGGCUCGGUAUUUGUUUUCUAAAUAUUGUUUUUAUGAAACAAAAAUGAGAAUGAAAAUGUUAUUUAAAUUUAUUUAUAAAAAUUAAAAAUGUGUUUCGUAUCAUUUUCAAAAAUAAUUUUAAAAAUGAAAAAAAUAAAAUACGUUCGGUAGGAAUAUUUUAAAGAAUUAUUAUUGGAAUAAUUUCCAUUAAUUUAAAAUUAAGUAAUGAAUAAUUAUUUUUAUUAUUUAAUUAGUUUGAUUAUUUUUAUUUUAAUAAUAAAUUAGGUGAUCUUGUUAAUUUUUUUGUUUAAAGAAAAAUAAUAAGCUCUACAUAUUUGAUUUAAUUAAUAUUUAAAACAUAAAUAUUAUAAUGUACAUAAGAAAGAAAAGAUUUUUGAGAGGGAAAUUGAUUUUUUGGGCAUAGUAAUAGUAGUAGUAGUAGUAGUAGUAGUAAUAAUAAUAAUAAUAAUGUUGUUGAUAUUAUUAUUAUUUUGUGAGAAGGUGGAAGAAAAUUGUUCAUUUUAAAACUUAAAACUGUAUUGGAAAACAAGAAAAAGUUGUUUUCUUAUUUUCUUUGUUAAAAGUAUAGAAUGAAUUUUAUAUUUUCAAAAAUACUUUCAAAAACAAUCUACCGAACACGUAUUUAGUAUUUUCUGAAUUCAAAAAAUAAAAAUCAGAAUUUGAAAACAAUGCCGAACCCACCCUUAAUUAUCCAGUCUAUACACCUUGUGUUGAAGAAGUAAGACAAGUUAUGGGAAGCAAAGGAUCCUUUAACAUCCAUCAGCAUGAAACAUCGCAUAUAAGUUGGUCAGCAGGCUAUGAGAACGAUAACAAAGGCUUGGAGUUAAACAAGCACGCAAGAGCCAAGAAUGUGGCAAAUAAUAUAAAGUGAGAGUCCCUUCUGGCCAAUCAUUUUGGAAGUGCAAUCAUGGAUGAUUUGUUCCUUAGAUAUACAAUCAAGGUACGUGCGCAAUUGGAAAUGGGGUUAGGAGCUUACACAUUUCUGUUACUUUACUUGAUUAAGAAAUGAAUUAUGUAAUUUCAAAAAAAAAAAUUACGUUUUUUGUACGUUUAUCUUUCAGUUCUUAUCUUACGUGAAGCUCUGUUGUCCUCGUUCUUGUUGUAGUUUGUUUUGUUUGUUUGUUUUUCUUGUAAUACGUAUCACACUGCGUGAAAUGACUAAGCUUUGUAUCAAUUUAGGUUAUUUAUGUACUUAUGCUAUUUUAUGUUGUUUUUGUUAAAAGCUACAGAGUAUAGAAGAAUUCUAACUGUUAUUAAAAUGAGAAUAAUUUUGGCUAUUAAAUAGCCUUACAUAACGAACCAAGCAACAAAACAGGAACCAAGUUUAACUGACUCCUAAAGACAUGGAAGACUAAAAUCAACAAAUAAUGUCACCCUUAACAAUAGGAAUUUUAUUUUGACUAAGUAGUAACAAAAUCAACUCAACAUUUCCUCCCUUAAACUGAAUGCUAAUGCAUCAGUUUACAUCAGUUUCAGAGCAAACUCCUAAUGAUGCACGCAGCUUUAGGAAGACAUCCAGCUUGAGUGGCUUAGUCAUUAAAUCGGCUAAUUGUUCUUGUGUGCUGCAAUAGACCAAUUCUACAGUACCAGCCUUUGUAAGCUCCCGAAGAAAAUGAAAACGCACAUAUAUGUGCUUACUUCGACCAUGCAUUACUGGGUUCUUCGAAAGUUUGAUUGCAGAACUACUAUCACACUGAAUAAUAGUUGUCUUACCUUGCUUCAGACCCAAAUUAUCCAACACCCUUUUCAACCAAACUGUUUGACAUGCACAAGAAGCCGCAGCAAUGAAUUCAGCUUCAGUAGUGGAGAGACUCACUAUUGGUUGCUUUUUUGAUAGCCAAGAUACUGCUCCUGAGCUCAACAAAAAAACAUAACCUGAAGUGCUUUUUCUAUCUUCUAAAUCCCCAGCAUAAUCACUAUCAGUGUAAGCAAUGAGUUCAUUAUUUCCUCCCUUCUUAUAGAAAAUUCCGAAAUCAAGUGUUCCCUUCAAAUAUCUCAGCACCCUUUUAGCUACUUGGAGAUGAAGCUCAGUAGGAUUCUCCAUGUACCUACUGAUAAGACCCACUACGAACAUCACAUCCGGUCGAGUAGCUGUAAGAUACAUGAGACUACCCACAAUUUGUUUGAAAUAAAUUUUGUCUACCUUAACACCACUUUCAUCCUUCACAAGUUUACAACCUGGAACAAUUGGAUUUUGAACUGAGUUGCUUCCAUCCACCCCAAACUUUUGCAGCACCUGUAACGCAUAUUUUUUCUAACUGAUAAACACACCUCUUGAAUUCUGCAAGAUUUCAAGACCAAGAAAAUACCUCAUUUUGCCAAGAUCAGUCAUAUCGAACUCAUGUUUCAUGGAACUUUUAAAUUCUGAGACCAUCAAUUCAUCAUUGCCCGUAAAGAUGAGAUCAUCUACAUACAAACUCAUAAUAAAAAAUUUCCCUUCUUUCUCUGUUUUGAUGAACAGGUAUGUUCAUAGUCACAUUUCUCAAAACCCUCUUUCAAAAAAUAAGCUUCUAUACGGCUAUACCAAGCACGCGGUGCUUGCUUAAGGCCGUAGAGUGCCUUUUUUUAAUUUAUAAACCUUGUGUUCAUAACCCUUUUUCACAUAACCAAGCGGCUGUUCCACAAAAACCUCUUCAUUCAGCUCACCAUAUAGAAAUGCCGACUUAACAUCUAGCUGAUAGAUAGCCCAUCCUUUUUGAGCUGCAAGAGCUACUACCAAACGAAUUGUUUCCAUACGUGCUACAGGUGCGAAUACUUCUGUAUAAUCUACCCCAUGUUGCUGAGAGUACCCCUUCACUACAAGCCUUGCCUUGUGUUUAUCAACUUCACCAUUCUCAUUAAACUUGGUUUUGUAAACCCAUUUCACUCCAAUUUUCUUUCCACCUUCAGGUAAUUCUGUCAAUUCCCAUGUAUCAUUCCGUUUUAUUGCUUCUAUUUCCACAUCCAUGGCUUUCCUCCAUUUCUCGCUUUUUACGGCAUCGUCGAAAUGAAUAGGAUCAGCAGUUGCAAACAUGGCCAACUGAACUUCUUCUUCAGAUAGUCCCUCUCCUGUCUCAUAGUCUUGCAUCCAAGCUGGUGGUCUCCUAAUUCUCCCUUCAUUCGAGCUAGGUGAGCUUUCCUCGGCUGGAGAAUCAGAGGAAAAAUUCUCCCCUUCUUCAAUAUUAGCAUCAGAAUUAGAUUCACUUCUCCCUACAUUUCUGUCGAUCUCCACCACUUUUUCCUCACGAUCACCCCAUUCCAAAUCACAUGCAAUUGCUUCCUCAUACUUCUUGUCCAAAUCCCAGCUUUUGUCUUCCUCGAACACAACAUCUCGACUUAUAAUAAUCCUUUGUGAAAUAGGAUCAUAAAGCCGGUAAGCCUUCGACUCCUCGCUUACUCUCAACAGAAUACAAAUCUGACUUUUAUCAUCUAGUUUUGUUCGUUUGCUAUCAGGCACAUGAACAUGAGAGAUGCAGCCAAAGACUCUGAAAUACUCUACCGAAGGUUUGAUUCCACUCCACGCUUCUUCCGGAGUCAUAUUUCUCACAGCAAAGGUUGGACUUCGAUUUAGAAUAUGUAUCGUCCAGUUGACUGCUUCAGGCCAGAAGGUUUUGGGGACUCUUUUUUCUGAAAUCAUGCUUCGUACCAUAUUCAUAAUGGUCCUGUUCUUUCGUUCUGCGACUCCGUUUUGUUGUGGUGUGUAUGCUGCUGUCAACUGUCUCUGUAUACCAUUUGCAUCACAAAAAUUAUUGAAUUCUUGUGAUGUAAACUCUCCUCCUCGAUCAGUUCGCAGUGCUUGAAGUGGAGUGUUUGUCUUUUUUUCCACUCGGAUCUUAAAUCUUUUGAAAACAUCAAAGGCUUCGGAUUUUCUGUCAAAAAGAAAACCCAUGUUUUUCUACUGAAAUCAUCAAUAAAGGUAAGUAAAUACCGUUUCUUGCUGUUGGAGAUCGGUUUGAUCGGUCCGCAAAUAUCAGCGUGUAACAACUGAAGGAUUUGGGAAGCUCUCCAGCUGCUUCUUUUUGGAAAUGAAUCCCUGUGCUGCUUGCCCACCAAACAGUCCUUGCAUAGCCUUGAAGGAGUUUUAAGUUGUGGUAAACCAUUCACCAUUGCCUUUUGUUGAAGAGUUUUUAAACCCGUAAAACUCAAAUGUCCAUAUCUGCAGUGCCAGAGCUACACCAGAUCCUCAGUAAUUGUAUUGAAACAAACAGAUGUUAUAGGUUUAGAAAUAGCUUGCAAUAUAAACAUUCGAUUUGCAGACAUCUUUGUAUCCAUGAUCAAACCUCUCUUAUGAUGAAACACCUUGCACCUUCCAUGUUGGAACAGAACAGUAAGCCCCUUUUCUUGCAAUUGCCCAAUGCUCAACAGGUUGCUCUUCAAUUCAGGUACAUAGAAAACUUCGGUAAUAAUUUGUGUUGUUCCAUUCACUUGUAACCUGAUGUUACCCUUUCCUAUUACAGUCAUGCUUGAAUUGUUGCCCAACUUCACAGAAUCUCUAAAAUUUUCAUUUAGAUCUGAGAGAUAUUCCUUUUUUCCACACAUAUGAUUGCUGCAGCCCGAGUCAAGAUACCACAUAUCUUCCUUGUUGUCCUUGUUCACAUCUACGCAUGCCAUCAACAACAUCUCUUCUUGAGUCUCUGCAAAAUCUGCUCUUAUCUCAUUACUUGGACACUCCCAUUGAAAAUGUCCAAGUUUGUGACAAUUAUAACACUCCACUGUGGAUUUGUCAAAUUGUUGUCUGCCCCGUCCUCUUCCUCUUCCUCGAAAACCUCCUCUACCACGACCUCUUGCUCCUGAACUAUUCUCAUGUGUUAUCUCCAGCGCCUGUUCCUCUCCAUUAUUCCUAUGAAAUUUCUGCUCAUGAACAAUUAGUGAACUUUCUAGCUCAUCAAUUGAAAGCUGAUCAAUGUUCUUUGACUCCUCAAUUGAACAAACAAUAUAAUUGAACUUCUCAGUCAAUGAUCGAAGAAUCUUCUCUACCACUUUAACAUCUUGCAUAUCCUCUCCAUAAUUUCUCAUCUUAUUAGCUACUGACAUGACUCUUGAGAAAUAAUCAAUAACAAUUUCACCUGGUUUCAUUUCAAGGGUCUCGAAAUCUCUCCUUAGUGCUUGAAGGAUGGAACGUUUCACCCGAGCAUUACCUUCAAAUUUCUUUUUCAUUGAGUCCCAUAUCUGUUUUGAGGUGUCCUUCUUUAAAAUUGUUUCAAGGAUGGUCCUGUCAAUUGCUUGAAACAAAUAAUUCUUCACUUUCCUAUCCUUUAACUUCAUCUCAUCGAGGCUCUUUUGUUGUGCUUCCGUUACAGCAGCUCCGUCUGCAGGCUCAACAAAACCAAUCUCCACAAGGUUCCAAUAUUCUUUGGACCUAAGGAAGUUCUCCAUUAGCAUGCUCCAAUGGUCGUAAUGACCAUCGAAGCGUGGAAUCGCAGGCUGAACAAAACUCCCUUCACUUGCCAUCUCUUUCUUCUCUAGUUUUUCUUGAAUACAAGUCACUCAAAAGCUGCAGCUUUCUAUUCUCAGGCCCACUGGAGAAAAGCUCUGAUACCAAAUGUUAAAAGCUACAGAGUAUAGAAGAAUUCUAACUGUUAUUAAAAUGAGAAUAACUUUGGCUAUUAAAUAGCCUUACAUAACGAACCAAGCAACAAAACAGGAACCAAGUUUAACUGACUCCUAAAGACAUGGAAGACUAAAAUCAACAAAUAACGUCACCUUUAACAAUAGGAAUUUUAUUUUGACUAAGUAGUAACAAAAUCAACUCAACAGUUUUAUGUUGGUAUUUCAAUGGAACCCAAGGGCUGCAAGUAUUCAAUGUUUCUAUUUAUGGUGAUGAUAUCUCCAUUCCAAAAUUUCUGUAAACCCACCCCAUGUUUUAAAAAUAAUUACAAAGUGUACAUUAUUUUUAAAAAAUUUCAAAUAAAGAAGAACAUUGGAGAAUUAAUUAACUGAAUUUAUCAUAAUUUGAUUUUUUUAUUAUAUUUGAAUUUGAUUAUAAAGACUGCUCUGGCAGAAGUUUAAAUUGACUAUUUUAGCCUUAUAAGGCAACACUACCAAGAAUUUACUUUAACUUCAAUAUUUUUCUAAUUUUAUACCAAACUCAUUUUUUCUAUUACUACUUUAUUAGUAUGAUUAUUAAAUUUUAAUUAAACUAACUUGGUGUCUUUAUGGCACAAUACUCAUGUAAAUUAUUGGACAGUCAAAUAUAUGUCAUUUACAUGGAAGUGUGGUGAAAAUAAUAAUUAGAUUUCAUUUAAAAAAAUGUAUUAUAAGUCACAAAAUUAAAUACCUAAAUUAUUAGAUACAGUAACUCUUGUUUUUUGGGACAAUUUGAUUAUUUUAUAUCAUAAUAAUAAAAUAGUAAAAUAAAACUUAUAUUAAAGUUUAUGAUUAAAUAUGGUCAAAGAAACCUAAUAAAAAAGUUAAUGGAAGGACUUGAUUAAAUAAACAAAACUUUUAUUGAUUUAUAUUUUUUGAGAAUGUUGUGAAUUCACUGCAAUUAUUUUCUAGAAGUGGGAUGGAUAUACAAAAAUAUUGGAGCGGAAAUAUCCCCACCCUUAAAAUUUUUUGACAAUUACUUAUUCCCACUUAAUGUUUUAGUUUUUUCCAUUUUAAUUUAUAAUAUAUAGAAGAAAUUAACCUAUCACAUUUCUUUGAUAGCCUUGGUCCUUUGGAGAAGAUUUUAUUCAGUUCAUCGUGAAAAUUUGUUCUCAGUGCCAUUUAUAAUUAAAUUCAACAAUGCACUUGAUAGACCAAAUUAAAACUAAAGUUAAUAGCUUAUAUUUAUUUUUAAUGAUUACAACCUACACAUAUAUAUUACUCUCAAGACUUAUAUUUAUUGAAACUUUCUAUGCAUUCAUUUAUAAUAAAAUUUAAAAAUUUGUUGGGACUGGAUAAAAAAUUUAUUUCUUUCACUAAUAACCUUGCAUGUAAAACUACCAUGCAUAUUUCCUGUUUUUUUAAUUGUGGAAAGGGAAAAGAGGAUCCAUGAGAACUUGAAUUAAUACCCUCAAUAUUAUUGAGAGCACCCGCGCAUAACUUCUCAUCUUCAUUAAUAUAUAUAAAUAUAUAGUUCCCUUCUAAUAAUGGAAUCCCUUACUUUAAAAUAACGGACAGGGUAAAAGACAAAAAAUUCAGAUUUCAGUAAAUUACAAGACAAAUUAUAUUGUAUUGAAUCUAUAAUUUUUGUCUUUUUACUUACCAUGUACUUCAAUGUAUUAAACUAUAUAUCUUAAUAGUUUAUUGGACAUUGGUGAAGUUCAGAAUUCUGGUCUAUAUUCGUACUAUAUAUAUAUAGUAUGAAUAUAAUCGAGCAAUAAUGGCAUACAUCCCAAUAAGAAUCUCUACAUUUUGUGUCAGUAAUUUAUUGAGUGAUGGAUUUAAUAACUUCUAACCAAGUUCUCGGAGAGACAUAAUUAACUGCAUUGAUCUCGGUAGCUACUCCACCCACAGAAUUUAAAUAACCUAAAGGAGCAUGAGUCAGUCCAGCACUGACUCUUCGAUAUAUUUCUUGCUGAAAGUAUCCCUGAUCCCAUUGAUAACGGGUGGGACCAAGUAAAAUUAUUUUUUAGUAGUUGAUAAAACUCUUUUCUCAGAGCGUGUACCUUUUAUACCAAAAUUGGGUAACUCAAUUGAUGUUAGACCAGAAUCAACGAGGCCAAAGGAGGCCUAUAAUCAGAAAGACCAAAAGAAAAUCAGCAAAUCCCAUAUUAAAUAACAGAGUCAAAUUCAACAGCCCACGAAGGCCAAGAAAAUUCCAAUGUCGAAGUAAAAGGGAAGGGCUAUUGAAUUUUUCAAUGUAUUAAAUAAUUGAGCCGAGCUAUUGGCACCCCUGCAUUAUUCUUAUAAAAUCCCCUUUAAAUAAAAUUACAACUAAAGAUAACUGAAAAUUAAACACAUAUAAUUUUUUUUUCCAGCAAACUACUUAAUUCAUAAUCAAUCCUUUAAAAAAAUAUAUAUAUGUUACUUCCUAUUUAAUGAAAAUAAAUUGUACAAAUUUAGGAUAAUCUAUUGUUCUCUUUUGAUUCCUUAUUUAUUAAAUAUUUUUAUACUUAAAAUUGCUUUGAUAUUAUAAUUUGAAAUUGGUAUUAUUUCAACCAAUGAUUAACACUAAAAAACUUAUCACCCAUAUAACUUUUUAAUUUGUGUGUAGGGUAAUAAUAAAAUUGAAAAUAAUGAAAAAGAUAGCACAAUAAUACUUUGAGUUUUAACAAUAAAACAAAUCAAAUGAAAAUUGAAAACUUAAAAAAGUGUAUCUAAAAAAGGGGCAUUUUCGAAAAUAAAAUAAAAAUAAUUAAAAAUAGAAUCUUAUGAAGAGAUUAGAGGGGUGCCAAUGGUCCAACUCUAUAUAAUUUGGUAUUGAAAAACUAUAUUGAGACUCGACUAAUUUAAAUUCGGCGUAUUGAAGGGCUAUUGAAUUUGAUGAAGCAAAAUAUCUCUCGCGCUCGCAGUGAAAGUAAAGACAACGCCUGUCAAUGGCAUAUGAACAACUAUUUUUGCAAAAACAGAGACUGAACAUGUGGGUGGGCUGUGGCCAUUUUCAUCAUACGUGUUUGAUUAUAAUUUGUAACCAAAAUUGUUAACUGGAAAUUAACAAUCUACCUAUAUAAGAAUGGGCAUAGCAAAAAUCCCCGUAAGGGCUCAUUAUAUUAGGUAAUUAAGGGCCGGGUGGAAGUACGCUUUUUCAUACCUAAUAUUACGUCGAUAUCCAAUCCCAAAUAUAUCAAGCACCGAUUCCAAAACCAUUUAUUGUUAGAGUGUUGGCAGCGAAGUCUCAAAGUCUCAAUCAAACAUAACAGAUAUUGAGACGUGUUAAUUAAACUAUCUAAGAAAAUGCAUUUGCCAACCACAACUGUUGAUGUGUUAGGAACUUAUGUUAUAUUGUGAAACCAUUGAAAAUGUCAUUUGCUGUGCGACCGGUGAAAUUUAGUGAUUCAGCCAAGGUUAGCACUAAGAAAAAGUACAAAUUAAAAGGCCACUGUUUUGUUUAAGAACUUUUAAUAUGUUUUUAAUUAAUUAUCUUCAUAUAGGCAUGCACACACUCAGAUUUGAGAUGGGAAGCCUUCCACUUUUUCUUAGUUUGAGUAAUUAGUAGGAGAAGAAGUGGAUCCUAAUCUAAUUAAUAAUUGUUAGUGCCUACUGGAUAUUAUUUCUUUCAAAUCAAAAGCCUCCCGGCCUCAUCUGGCUAAAUGUCACUGUCGUGUGAUGUGAUCGCGAACUUCAUUGAUGAAAAAUAAGGGGAUAAAAUAAUAACUUUGAAGAGUGGAAUUCUAAAUAGAUUUUUUAAUUUUUCUCUUAGUGUAAUUUUAUUCAAAAAUAAAAUUAUAAUCUCAUCCGGGUUAUUUUUUGAAACCUCCCCUGAGAUUUGAUAUAAUUUCAAUUAGAUGGUGAGAUUGAUUGUAUUCUCACUUACCUCCCUUGUCGUUAGUAUACAUACAACUUGACUGUUAGUUGACUUGAGAAAUGACUGAAAUAUCCAAACUAAUUAUUCAACCAAAAAUUUUGGCGCCAACAAAGUAAGGGUACGACGAAAAUAGCUUGCCAAAUAUAUACCUUCUCUUCUCUCCAAAUUAAACCUAGGUCUUAAGUUUUCCGGCAACAGGGGACGGCGGUUGGACAUGCGUUUGACAGCAAGUUGAUCUCCGGCAGCACGUGGCUCUACUUCUGCCAUUUUGGCCGCAAUAUAUCAAGUUAAUUUUCGGUAAUUUUGGCAAGCCUUAUAUUGUAAAUUCUUUUUGUUUUUCGUUUUCCUAAGAUUGAUUGAUGACAAAUGGGUAUAUAAAUGAUUAUAGAUGAGCAUUAGGAUUGAUUGGUGUGUAAAUAUUAAAAAUGGUUUACUGAAAUUGGUAGUUAAUAAAUGGCACAUGAGGUGCUCGACAAAAUGCCUCUUGGGGUUUGUUUGUCUCAUUUUAGGUAGAUUAAGGUGUUGAUGGUGCAUUCAUGCGAAGUCCUAUUUUGUAAGCUCAUUAUCUAGCAUGAAAAGUUUACAACAACUAGCUUAAGAGGGUAUUUUACAUUUAUGGAAAAUUGCAUGCGCGACAGGGCCUAUCGCAACAAGUGCUUGUGAUUUAGAGUGACAGGCACCGUCUCUCGGGGUACAGGUACAUGUCUCCCCAAAUUACAGAAAAUUUGUUUAACUAACACGUGAAAUCAAAAAUCACUAAAAAAUAAUUUACUUCUCUCAGCAAUAGACUAUACCAGUCUCCAAAAUAUGUUAAGGGAUUCCAUCACCACCAAACCACUAAUAUUUUACUUGUUUAAAGAAAUAAGUAAAUUCCAAACCAUCAAGUUAUAUGUCAUCAAACCAGCAACACAAAUAACAAAUAACAAACAUUUAAAUUUGUACCGAGAGGAAAAAAAAACAUUAGUAGGAGUUAAUUGAAUUGGAAAAUAACACUAAGUAAAAUGGCACCGUAAUUUAAAUUAUAGUCACAUGUGCAUUUCCGCAGCUUACAAUUGGUGACAGUCACAAAUUGACUGAAUUUCAUCAGCCUAUACAUCCGGUAACCACCCAUAUACACAAAAAUAACAAAAAUAACAACUACACUAACAGUGUGCUAUGAUAGCUGAGUUAUACUUUAUACAUGUCAUUGUCACUAUAAUGUGAGUUUGUUAGUAUCACAUUUAUACAAAAUAUACAAAAACUUAAUCUUGUAUCAAUGACUGAGUACAAAAAGAUGAUACGACUUCUUAAUUUGCCGGCAUCCUCUCAAGAGAAUCUUCUAUUGCCGUCACUUGCUCAAUGUGAACCUCAUAAUUCAAAUCAAGGAGAGCAAACUCAUUCUCGUUUGCUAAGUCAAACCAGUCCAUUUUUGCUGUAGGUUCCAGUGGAACAACUGGCCUUUCGCUCCUAUCAUAUGUAAAUAUGCACACGUUAAUAAGUGAAAGCAAAGUAAUAAUUAAAAAUAAUAAUAAUAAUAACAUUACUAAACAACAACAACAAUUACAAUAAUAAAGAAAAAUAAUGAUAAUAGUAAUACAUUUUAAUAAAGAUAUUAAUAAUAAUUGUGAUGAUAAUAUAUGUGUGUGUGUGUGUACUAUUUUUAUUUUGAAUUAAUAUUAAACACAAAUUGUGUUUUUAGUGUGACAUGCUUGUUGCACCAUAAUACUAUCAUGUCGCCCAAAAACACAGAAGCUGAAUUCGGGCAACCUAAGCCGUCGCACGGGCGACAACGUUGUCGUCCAAAAACACAAAAACUGUGUUCGUGCAACGUGAGUCUGUCGCAUGGGGGACAGGCCCUGUCGCUUAAAAUCGCAGGAACUGUAUUUGUGCGAUAGACAUACAAAAACAAUGCAAAUUCAUAAACAUAUCAACUUGAGCAAACUUUGGUCAGAAAAAUAAAAAUUACAACUAAGACUACUUCUGUUUUGCAUACUCAUUUGCAUAAUAAUAGCAAAUUAUUGGCUUUAUAUACUUUAUUACACUAUGUAUGGUGUAAAUCACAAACAUAAAAAAACUAAUAACAAUUUUUUUCAACUUAUGGCCACAUAUGUCUGAACCCAUUCUCCUUUUAAUCAAUUUUUUCACCACCAACCCAUAAACAAGACAAAUCAAACACAACCAACAACCACUUAUAAAAUCUCCAAAAACAAGAAAAUCAAAGGUAUUUAAAAAUUUUAGACUUUGAUAAAGUAAUUAACCUCUUACAAACUUCAAUACCAGUGGCAUAUCCCGACCGCUGUCGAUCGUCACCGGUCGGUCGCCUUCUCUGACCACCAUGUUUGUCUUCUUCAUGGGUUAUAUAUGCUCUUUGUGUUUAUUUCUUUUUAUUCCAGCAACUGAGAAUAGGGGAGUCGAGUGAAAAAUGCUUUGAUUGUUAAUGUGAGAGAAAGAAAUCUCCAUUGCUUUUUUAUGCUGGAGAAAGAGAAAUUAACUCUUUUACACAAUAGAUAUUGUGUGUAAUCGAAUAAUACAAUUAUCCAAUGAAUUUCAAACCAUUUUUUUAUUGUUACUUGAUUUUUUUAGAUUUUUAGCAUGUUUUUUACAUUUUUGCCCUCAAAUACUAAUGUUAUACGCGUAUGUAUACUAACGGGAGGGGAGGUAAGUGAAAAUACAAUCAAUUUCACCAUCUAACUGAAAUUAUAUCAAACCUCAGGUGAGGUUUUUAAAAAUAGCCCAAUCUUAACUUUUGGUUUGAAGAGGAUAUUAAAAUAAUUUUAUGGAUGGUACAAUUUUCUUUUCUUUUCUUUCGUUUCCUUUUUUUUUUCAAAGCAAACAUCCUCAAAGGAUGGUAAAACAUUAACACUUUUCCUUCUAAAAAUUAAGCACAAUAAUGCUAUUCUUAUUUUGUCAUCUAGUACAUGAGGGGUAGCCGGUUACGAGUGAAACUGAAACUAAUUAUUUUUCGAGGGAAAAAUUUAGAUGAGAGUCCCAUUAAAUUCCAUUGAUUUCUGUAUAUAAACCGUAAGUGGCUUAGAACUAGAGCAAGGGACACGACGAAGAUCAUUCACUCAGAUGAGAAGCAUGGAAUUAGGGCAAGGUUCUAGCAAAAAUGGAGCCAUGCAAGUAGAACAAGUUCUGUUCAUGAAUGGAGGAGAAGGAGAUAACAGCUAUGCAAACAACUCAGCGCCAUCGGUCACUUUAUAAACUUCAAUCUCACUUUCCCUCUUUCUUGAUGUUCACACUUUAAUUUCUUCUGUUUAUAAAUUUUCUUAUCUUUUCCAUUCUUUUGUUCAGAGGGAGGCAACCUUGAAAACAAAGCCCCUACUGCAUGAAAGCUUGUUUGAUUUGUAUUGCAAUGGCUUCCCAGAUUGCAUCAGAUUUACAGAUAUGGGGUGUUCUUCAGGGCCUAAUGCAUUUUUGCCAACAUUGCAAGUUAUAGAGGCACUGGACACUAUUUGCAGCCGCUUGAAACAUAAGCCACCAAUACUGCAUGCUUUUCUCAAUGAUCUUCCUGGAAAUGAUUUCAAUACCGUUUCCAAAUCUCUUCCAAGCUUUUAUGAGAGAUUGAAGACAGAGAGGGGCCAUGACGAUUUUGGUUCAUGUUUCAUUGCUGCAGCCCCUGGAUCUUUCCAUGGAAGGCUAUUUCCUCCGUGUUUCCUAAACUUGGUCUACUCUUCUUUCUGUCUUCACUGGCUCUCUCGGGUAAACGAACCCGUCCCAUUUAUUCUUUUAAAGAUAAUAAAAAAAUUAAAAAUUUAAAAAAAUAGUGUACAAAAUCAUAUUCUUAUAAUACGUCAAUUUUAUGUUUUAACAGGUGCCCAAAGAGCUAGUAAGUGAAUGUGGAAUUCCUUUAUUAAAUAAAAGGGAUGUCUGCGUAGCAAAAACCUGUAGCCCUUUCAGUGUGCAUAAAGCAUACUUGGAUCAAUUUGAGAUUGAUUUCACAUCAUUUCUCAAAUUUCGAUCGGAAGAGUUAAAAACUGAAGGCCGUAUGGUUCUUAACUUUAUAGGUAAUGAUAAAUACCAUACUGGUGUUUUCGAGUUGAUGGGAAUGGUGUUAAAUGACAUGGUCUAUGAGGUAUCUUCUCUCUCCCCUUUUUGAACACAAACAUACCACUAUAUUAUAUAUAUAUAUAUAUAUAUUCUCUUACAUGAAAAUUAUUAGGUGAAUUCUCACUAAAGAUGUUAUAUUGUAACAAAGUAAUUAUGAUAUGCACUUGUAAAAAUCAAUCAUUAUGUUUCACAUCUCUAGCUCAGACAUUUGUAUGUGUGUGAAAAAAUUAUAUAUAUUUUAAAGAGAUUUACUCUUUCUUUUGAACUUAUUUAGGGUUUGAUUGAAGUAUCAAAAUUGGAGCCAUUUCAUUUUCCGAUGUAUAACCCUUGUGUUGAAGAAGUAAGACAAGUAAUUGAAAGAGAAGGAUCCUUU
rnacentral:lncRNA from 1 species